rnacentral:lncRNA from 1 species
AAGGCAACAUCCGCCCCUGAGCGGUGGUUUUUGGUUGAAAAGAAAAAAGAAAAAACACCGGCUUUUAAAAAGAUAAAGACAACUUCCAUGUUGUGCUGGACCUAAUAUACGUGUAAACAUUUAUCCUCGUACACGUAAAUGCAUAUAUCAGAGUUCUAUCUUUUUAUAUACCAAACCUUUGUGUCUUUAUCUUCAUUUGAUAGCAAAAGAAGGAAGCAGUGAAAAAAGAAAUCAAUGGAAGCAACAAAAGAGAGGAAAGAAGAAAUGGAAAAGAAAGAGGACGACGUCGUAGCAGAUGAUCCAAUGACUAAAGCCAGAGAAAUCAUUAGGGAAGCCAUUAUUACAGAUGGUGAAAAUCCAAACACAAGUACUACUAAUAAGAUGAAGAAGAAAGAGGGGGCUGAACAACUUGACGAUGUUUUAGUUUUUUCAAGAACAGUUCAGAAAAGGGAUUCUUCACUUGAGUAGAUUUUUCCUUGUUUAGACUAAGUUUAUUUGUACAUUUUGUUUGCAGGAAGGAACCAUAAUAAUAACUCAUAAAAUAAUGAUGUCCUAUUUUCUUCUUUUUAUUUUCAUUUUAGAACUAUAUAUUGUCGAUUUCUCGUUAACUUAUCUGUUUAUAUUUUGUUAUUUAAUCUUUGGUAUGUAUUAUUCAGAAAAUGUGUCUACAAGAGCACAUAACCUAAUAAUUAGAAUGAAAGCGUCUUGACUGGCUAGCGAGCACUUUUUUUCUUUUGUAAAAAAAAUUCUCCUCUAAAAUUGCCUCGAACAGAUAGAAUUAAAGCAUAUUUUGCAGCGAACCUCGGGAUAGUUGAUCAACUUACAAUCUAAGGCCUCUAAUAAUCUUGAGCUUUUGUGUUUUUUUUUUUUAAUCUUUUAACUAAUAUUGUUAAGUGAUAGGUUCAUUUGCACCUACUAUUAUUAAAAAGUUACUGAUUUGCUUGUCCUUCAAAAAGUUUAGAAGUGACGCAAUUUUGUUAUGAUUUUUAAUUGAAUAGUACAUCUCAACUAUUUUAAUUAUAAUACUCAAAUUUAAAUAAAAUAACUUCAGCAAUAUGUUAUCUAAGCAUAUUUAACUAUUCAGCAAACUAGUGUACUCUAGUUGCCUGAUUAUCUUAGUAGUAAUGUUGCCACUGUCCCGUGAUGAUUAAAUAAAAUAAACUAUGUCAAUUCUGACAAAUAAAUAUUUUUACCCAAUAAAUUAUAUUCUACGUUUUAAAAAAAAUAAUCAAAGUAUGUUUGUUUUUCAUAAGAUGCUUUUGUAGAAUCUAAUUUAUAUAUGAACUAUACGUUAACUCUUAAAAGAUAAAUUUUAUGAACUCAUGAUUGACUGUUGAAAGAUUGAUUUAUGAACAAAAUGCUUAACAUUGUUAUAUAGUUAUCAUGUAUCUAAGUUAAUGCUCAAUAUAUAUAUUUUUACUAUCACUUUAGAUGAUAUUAUACAUUCUUCAUCCAUCAUACUAUCAUUACUCUUUUGUCCUAUAUAAGUUAUAAUUAUACAUUGUUUGGUUAAAAAAAAGUCAUUUCUUUCCAACAAGGGAACAGAAGAGUUUGACAGUUUUUCUCUCUAAAACCCUUCUAUUACAAGUCACUUGGUAUAUAUGCCUGCAAUAUAUUUGUUACUCUGAAAUCUCAUUAUACUAAUUUCGGUACUCAAUUUCUUUUCCUUUAGUUUAAUAUCAAUUUUUGUUCAAUUAGAAUUCUUUAUCUUCUUGAAUCUCAUGUCUUUUAAUUUUACCUUUAUUUAAUUUUUGAACUACGAUAUUUUUCUGAUCAAUCCCGGCUAAGUUGUCUUUUGAUUGAGUGCACCUUGUUUUCUCUCAUUUUUUUAAUUUGGAUUUGAAGCUAUGCCUGUCUAAGUAAUUACCUGUUUGAACUUUUUAUUCUUGAAAUGUUAUUCAGCUUUUUUUUAGGGGGUCGAACUGUUACUCCUUUUUGUUAAAGCUUUAGAUAAUUCUUAUGUUUAAAUGGGCUCCACAUAGUAUGAUAGCACUAAAAGGCUGCUGGAGCCCACGUUAGAGUAUCGCCGUUUACAAUUGCACUUAUGAAGGUGGGCUCCGCAAUUGAGAAGGUGCACAUACUAUUGCACAUAGCACAACAUAAUUAAAGCACGAAAAUCUAUGAAAUAACAGAAAUGCCCCUGAUUGGCAAGCUAGCACGUUGACGGAGAGCUGCUAAAUUCUCACUUGUAGAAUAGUAGAAUACGUGUAGGCAUUUCCUAGAAUCUUAUUAUUUAAUUUUAUCUCAACAUAUAAUUUUUUUUAUUUCUAUUAUUUUUGACAAGGAGUAUAACUAAGAUAUUUAAAUUCAUAAUUUUAAAAGUAUAAUGUAUUUAAUGUUAAAAAUUUAAAAAUUGAAUUGUUCAAGUUUAAUUUCUGAAUUCACUGAGAAAUAUUAUUCCAAUGAAAAUGAUUGUAACAACCUAUAGCACAAUCAGACAAAUGGAAUUAAGUUCAAAAUAAAGAAGGCUCUUAAAAUGCAUUUAUUAUUAUGAUCUUGGCAUUAGAUACAUCUUAUUUUAUAUUCCCAAAGAUGGGAAGAAAAUAAUUACUACUUCUAUUUUCUUCUUUGUAGUUAUGGAUGAUGUAAUCUUAGUUAUAGAUAUAUGCCAUAUCAAAAUUAAAGAUCUCUUAUCAUUUCUUAUAUUAUAAAUAGCAUGUUUUCAUCGAGACUUGACAUUCCAAUCCAUAAUAUUGUUUCUACAAGCAUGGCUAACAAGAGUGUUUCGCGUUCUUUCUACUUUUUAUAGGUAUUUGAUGUAUGAAUUUUCUUUUAAUCAAUUUCUUUUUUCUCAAUGUUUUAAACUAGUUAUGCUUGAGAAAUGUAAAAUGUUAUGCACAACAUAGAGAUAUUUUAAAACCAUCUAAAAGUCACUUUAAACAAAUUUAUUCAUACUUUUAUGGAAUAAGUUUAGAGACCUCCCCUUAAAUUUGACUUCAUAACACUAGUAUUUUUUGUGAUAUAUAUAUAUAUAUAUAUAUAUUAUGUUUAUCUCCCUUAUUUUGAUUUUUCAGUAGCAAUUCUUUUAAACUUUUAUUAUGUCACGACCCGGAAUUCCCACCCUCGCGACUGUGAUGGCGCCUAACAUUUCACGGGCUAGGCAAGUCAACGUUAGAUAUAGUUAUUAGCCGUUUUUAACAGCGAUGUCUAGAUACAAUCCCAGAACUGGUGUUACAAGCAUACGAGCGACUAGAGUACUACAAAUAAAAGUCUGAAUGAAAGCAUAACUGUCAGAAAUAAAGUAAACAACUAGAGUGAUGUAGAAGGGGACUUCAGGGCUGCGAAUGCCAUGCAGCUGCAUCUCAAGUCUCCGUCAGGCACCGAUCCGAGCAAUCUACUGACUGCCGCUGGGACCGACUCCAAAAUCUACACAAGAAGUGCAGAGUGUAGUAUGAGUACAGCCGAUCCCAUAUACUUUGUAAGUGCCGAGCCUAACCUUGACGAAGUAGUGACGAGACUAAGGCGGGUCACUUACAAUAACCUGUACGCAAUAUGAUAAUAGUAAUAGGGAAGGGAAAACAGGAAAGGUAAAGCAGUCAACUUAUGAAAAGAAUUCAACACUUGUAAUCAGAGAACCCCAAAUAACCGAUCUCAUAAUUUCAUAUAGCAACACUGAAAAUCAACACAAUAACAAAAAUAAAUAUAAAAUACACAAUUCAUUGCGGUGCACAACCCGAUCCCACUGUACAAACACAAUCCUCCCUUAUUUCAUCAUAUCAAUAUCAAGAAUAACAUAUAAAAUUCAUUGCGGUGCACAACCCACUCCCACCAUAUCAAUAUCAAAUCCUCCCUUAUUUCACCAUAUCACAACCGUUGUGGCGUGCAACCCGAUCCAUAAAUAAAUUCAAUAAAUUUAAUCAAUCCAACAACUCAAUUCGCAAGAAUCUCUACGAUUUAAAGAAUAUGAAGCAAAACAAUAAAGGAACCCCGUACCAAAUCAAGGAAUGCUAUAAAUAAUACAAAGCAACAAGACAAGCUAAAUAUGUGACAGUUAAAGUAUACAAGUAAGACAAUUAAGACAAGUGGCAAUUAAUCAUGGAAUCAUGGAAGAAACAAAUAUUUCAACAUAAGAGAAAAUAAAUGACAAGUAACAAGUUAUAGCAUAGAAAGCAAUUAAAGCAUGUAACAGUUAAGACAUGUAAUAAGAUAAUUAAUGAAAUACGAAAAAUAUGAAAACAAUUAUUCUGACGGCAUAUAUACACUCGUCACCUUACAUAUAUGCCGUUACACACGUAAUUCACAUAACAUAUAGUUCAAGGGUUCCUAAUUCCCUCAAAUCAAGGUUAGACCCAAUAUUUACCUCGCUCCGCAACUAACUCAAAGCUCAACCGGGGCCUUUUCUCUAAAAUUCGCCUCCAGACCCAAUCAAAUCUAACCAAAAAUCGACUUAAUAUCAAAAAAUUAUGUUAGGGAAAUCAAUUACAAUACAUAAACUUAAGAUCUUUACACUUUUUUUCAAAAGUUAAUCUCGGGUCCGCUUGGUCAAAACCCGAGAUUCAAACUAAAAUCCAAUUACCCAUUCACCCCUGAGCACGAUUAUGUGAUUAGUUUUGAAACCUGAUCUCAAUUUGAGGUUUAAAUCUCAAUUUUAUAAAAUUUCUAAUAUCUAUCCAAAUCCCUAAUUUCUACCAUGAAAAUCCUAGAUAUAAUGUUAAAAAUACUUGAAAAGUAAUGGGUAAUUGAAAAGAAAUGGAUUAAAGUUGCCUACCAAUAUUUUUGGAAAGAAAAUCCUCUUAGAAAAUCGCCUCUAGGGUGUUUAGGGUUGAGAGUUUGUAAGAAAUAAGCUAAAUCCCGUUUUCUCAGCUUUUUUUCCAGGAGCAGAUGUCGCAAAAAUACGAAGAAGUCCUCGCAAAAGUGAACUCCCCACACCUUUGAUGGCAUCGCAAAUGAGACGCUUUAUUCGCAAAUGCGAACAUAGGGACCCCUUUAAUCGCAAAUUCGAACCAGCUCCCCCCAGCACCCAUCACAAGUGCGAACUAUCUUGUAAUGUCCCGACCGAUUAUUUUGAGUAUUUUAGCCCCGAUCCCCUAUUUAUUGCCUCCUAUAUGUUAUAUUGUAGUUAUGUGACUUGCCAUGGUGUUUGGUUUUAGUUUAGGUGAGUUUCGGAGUGAAAUAGGACAUAUAAUCCCUAAGUAGGAGCUUUAAGUUGAUAUAGUUGACCGUAGUUUGAAUUUUAUGUAGACGACUCCGAAAUAGAGUUUUGAACGUUCUAAUAGGUAUGUAUGAUAAUUUUAUACUUAGGAGCGUAUUCGUAUGUUGAUUUGGAGGUCCGUAGGUCGUUUCAGCUUGAAUUGGCGAAAGUUAGAAAGUUGAAGGUUUGGAAGGUUGGAAAGUUUGAUCGGGAACUGACUUUAUUGAUAUCGGGGUCAGAUUCUGAUACCGGAAGUUUGAAUAGGUCCGUCAUAUCAUUUAUGACUUGUGUGAAAAAUUUGAAGUCAAUCAAAGUUGUUUUGAUAUGAAUAGGCAUUAGUUUUGGAAUUCAGAAGUUCAUAGUUUCAAUAGGCUUGAAUUGGGUUGCGAUUCGUAGAAUCGAUGUUGUUUGAUGUGAUUUUUGGUCUCGAUUAGGUCCGUUAAGUAUUUUGGAACUUGUUGGUAUGUUCGGACAAGGUCCCGUGGGCCCCGGGUGUGAUUUGGAUUAAAUCCGGAACCAAAUUGGACUUAGUCAUUAUUUCUGAAGCUGCUAGUUUUCUUCUGAUCUGGUUUCCUUCUACGUGUUCACGAAGGUUCUCCCGCGAUCACGUAGAGUCUUUAGGGGCUGAAGAAUUUUUCCCUUCGUGAAGGUGAGGGAGUGAUCGCGAAGUUUGCUGGGAUUGUUCAUCACGAAUAUGUGAGGUAUAUCGUGUUCGCGUAUAAGGAAACUGAGGUUGGGGGCUGAGGCACGCUUGUGCAUCGCGUUCGCGUGACCUGGGACGUGGUUGCGUGGGUGAUAAAGGGUGAAAAGUGCAUGUUUUGAGUGUGUUUGUUUGUUAUUUCGUAUGUGAGUUGCGGGAGUUCACAUCGUUUUUGAAAUAAAAAUUUGCUCAUUACAUGUUUCUUAUGUGUAGGAAUAAACUUGCGCGGAAAGGAUCAAAUGGGAGAAAAAUUUGUGAAAAAAAAGCUGAAGAGAAAAGUCAUGGACAACGAAGCGAGAUUCACUUCGCCAGACCGGGACCGGAGCAGAAGAAACCAGGAAAGUCCUGGAUAACGAAGUGAGGUUCACUUCGCCAGACCGGGACCGGAGCAGAAAAAUUCAGCCUUUUCGUUCCGAAUUAGGAGAAGCCAAUUUGGCCCAACUCAAUCCUAAACCAUAUAAAUAUGAGAUUUAGCCACUUUUUGAAGGAAGAGAAGACUUUGGGGAGGCAAGAACACGUUAGGAACAAGAAGGAGAAGGAUUUAACUUCACGUUUUCCCUCUUUCUUCCUCUAUUUCUAUUAUUUGUUAUGAAUUCUAGUAUUGUAGUUUUAUAUACUAUUAUGAAUAGCUAAUUUGUUAUCUAGGGUUUUGAUGGAACCUUUUAUAGGAUGAAUUCUUGUUAUGUUUUUAUAUAAUUGAGCCGUUGAUUUCUCUACUUGUUCAACUACGUAUUUGUUGCUGUUGAUUGAAUGGCCAUCAAUUGACUGUGCCUAUUUAGUGUGUACUGCUCGAGAGAGAGUACACAUUUAGGUAGUUGUUGAACAACAUCACUCUUAACGUAUGUGAGAGAUCAAUACGGAGGGUUUAAAGGCGGGAUUAGAGAUAACGAAGCCUUGGUGUGAUCGUAGUGAGCGGUGAAUUAGUGCCAACUAGUGUAGUUCGAGAGAAUACAUCUAGUAAUUUGUGGUAGUUGCUUGAAAGAGAAUUACGACAACCAAAAUACUCACGAUUGGUAGAGAAUACUUAGGCGAAAUUAUAGAAGACUUAGCGUGAAGGAUUCCGACAGUUGGGGAAAUCAUAACGCUAGACCUCCUUAAUCGUUUCUCCAACCCUUAGUAUCUUUAGUUCUUAAUUUGUUACUUUAAUUUGUUAGUUAGUUAGACAUAAGAAUCACAAUCUUUAUAACUGAGGAAUUAUUCGAACUUAUCUUCUUAGUGAUAGUGAACAGCUAUAGCUAAAGCCUUAGUUCUCUGUGGGAUUCGACUCCGGAAUUUUAGACCAGAUUAUAUUUGCAGCGACCACUUAUCCUUUUUAGGACAAGAGUUGGGCGUGAUCAAAUUUUGGUACCAUUGCCGGGGAACUGACAAUAUAGCUGUAGGUGUACAUAUUGUUAGGUUUCAAGUUUGAACUUUUAUUUUUGUUUUCUUGUAAUUGAUUUUUUUAUUUUUGUUUUACUUGUUGAUUUUAGAAACAUGACAUAUUUGAAUUAUGAGAGUUUUGAUGUUGGUAAUUCUACUUUUGAUCCUCCUUAUGCUUAUUGUGUAGGAAACCACCCAUGGCAAAAUUAUCAAAAUAUUCCCGGGAACUAGUUAUGUGCACCAACUCAAUCUUAUGUAUGGAAUGUGUGUGAUAUGUGUGGUGGUCAAGAUGGUCAUUUUCAUGGUUGUGCUUAUAUUUCUUAUCUUCUCCCAACCCCUUACUUUGAUGGUCCUUAUUUUUCUUGUGAAGUUAACAGGAACAAAGAACCCCGGGGAUGACGACCUGAAAGAAAUCAAGGAUAUGCUAAGGUGCCUUAUGAAAAAAAUACGAUGAGACACAACUGCGGAUACAAAGGCAAGAUGCAACUAUUCACAACUUGGAGGCUCAAGUGAAUCAACUAGUUGAAGCUUUUAAUGCUCAACAUGUCAAUAUUAUAGAUAGUAGACGAGAGCAGUGUGCAUUAGAGACAGAAAUUGAGGUGCCAAUAGAGGGGUCAAUAGUAGAACACCAAUAAUCAAUCAAACUAGAAUUUGAGGAUGCCGAUGUUGUAGAAGAGAUACUAGAGUAAACCAAGGACAUUGAGGAUACACAUUUAGUUCACUCUAGUGUCAUUAGUGUUGAGGAUGUUGACAAUCCUAAUAUUCAUGUAGUUGAGCGCAUUGGUCCACAGACUCUACACUCCAAGCAUUUUUUCACAUUGUGUUUGGAUGACGAUAUGGAAAUAGAGUCAUCCAAGCCAAUUGAGGAGUCAAGGAAUGAGGAACAAGGCGUCUACAUUCUGGAAUUCUUCUUGCCAGAAAGUAAGGAUUACACACCUCAUUUAAAGGCCAAGAAGUGCAGAAUACUAUAUUUUUUCCUUGGGCCAGUUAGAUUUGUUCCACCACCCUAAGAACAUAAUCAUAAGCUUAAAGCAAAAUUUGGGGUUCAAUUCAUAAGCUCGAGNNNNNNNNNNNNNNNNNNNNNNNNNNNNNNNNNNNNNNNNNNNNNNNNNNNNNNNNNNNNNNNNNNNNNNNNNNNNNNNNNNNNNNNNNNNNNNNNNNNNNNNNNNNNNNNNNNNNNNNNNNNNNNNNNNNNNNNNNNNNNNNNNNNNNNNNNNNNNNNNNNNNNNNNNNNNNNNNNNNNNNNNNNNNNNNNNNNNNNNNNNNNNNNNNNNNNNNNNNNNNNNNNNNNNNNNNNNNNNNNNNNNNNNNNNNNNNNNNACUGCUUUCUUUUAUUUUUAUUAUUGUAUUAUUCUUGUAGUGUUAUUUUUGAUUUCUCUAGGAGCAUGGGAAGCAAGGCCGUUGUAACAAAGCAAAAUCAAGAGAGAUGGUUAGAACUAAGUGUGGGGUGCCCGCACAAAGAACUAAGUCUGGAAAACGUCUGAGUACCCCAUGAGCUGCUAAUGCUUCGGCCUGUAGCCUACCAGGGAGUUUCUUAUACCCUCUUAUAUUUAUGGGUGUGUAUUGGGGACAAUGCAGAAUUUUAAGUGUGGGAUGAAGAGACUGUUUAGACGAUUUUCUAUGCUAUUUUAGUUGUGUUAGAAACAAAAUAGGUAGAAAUAAUCCCUCUUGGUUUUUCUUAUGGCCACAGUUCUUUUCCAAGAGAUGACUUUUGAACCGGGUAGUAGUUUUUAUUUUCUUGCAGGUAGAAUUUUCAAAAAGGUUUUGGAUUUUUCCCGACAAUGGACUUCCUAUACAGUUUUCUUGAGGGUUUAAAGUCCAAAGAAAAAAAAAACAAAACAAAAAAAAAAGAUUUUCGUUUUUCCUUUUUGAACUGAUAAUGGAAUGGGGAGAACUUGAGUAUCUAUGCUUUUUGACAUAUUUUAUAUCGGGGCUUAGAGGUGGAGCAUUCACACUAAGUACUUCCUUCAUGAUCUUUGUAAUUACAUGCCUUGAAAAUAUGUGUGGUUUUCUUUUGACACCGAGGCUCAUUUUUUGAUUCUUGUGAUUAAUCAUGUGCUUCAAUUUUAUGAUGAUUGUGCUAGUUGCUUUAACUUAAGAGUCGGGUCCGAGCCGUACUGAGUGAGUCAUGUGCAUUGUGUGAGGUAAGAUUUUGGUGUACUCUGUACCAUCCUUGCUAGUGUAGAACUUGCCCCGUGUGUGAGUCAAAGCAAAAUGAUUAAGUCUUGGAAGUUUGGGAAGUGAUAUAGGCUUUCUUUGAUUGACCAUUUAGCUUAUUUGCCUACUAGUGUUGAUAUUAUCCGUAGUCACCCCUUUUGAGCAUGUAGACCUUUUAUUUGGCAAUCACAUUACAAGCCGAAUCCCCUUUGUUCUUAAUCAAAUCUUGUUGAACCUUUACCUCCGAAAGCACUUAAGUAGCUAAAAGAGUAAAGAAAGAGAUUGGGUAGCUUUUGGGUGGAACCAUAGAAAGGCCGAAAAGGUGCACUUGUUACAAAAAAAAAGAAGGUACUAGCCAAAAAAACCAAAUUAAGGAGAGUGAAAAAAAAAGAAAAAAAAGAAUAGCACCUCCAUAUCUUUGUCUGGGCUAGUAAAUAUCUAUAUGUUGAUGUGCUUAAUAAAGAAGGGCUUAAAUGCAUAUGGUUUCAUGGAAAGACAUUGAAGUGGUCAUGGCAAGAAAGUGCUUAGAAGCAAAAUGAAGUGUAUUAAAGUGCUUAGGAGGGUGAGUCACUAUUUUCUCAAAUAUAUCCUACCCAUCCCUUAGCCUACAUUUCAACCUAUAAAGUCCUACUUGAUCCUAGACUUUACGAGCUUAAAUUAGUAGAGACUUACACUUCGGGCAAGCCUAUGGUACUAACUUAGGUGGCAUAAGAGUUUUUUUGUGAGAGUGAGCGAAUUCUUUCUAUAUUUGAGUCCUUAAACUAUACUUGAACUUAUAUUGAGUGUAUGGACUUCUUUCUCUCUAUGGUUUGUUGGUGAGGGCACAUGAUUUGCAAAGGAUUGGUAGAGACCUUGAUUUUUGAGUAGGCACAAGGAGCGAGUCAUAGUGUGGAAUGCAUUAGAGUCAAGUUUUGAGGCGAGGAUGUUAGGAAGAGCCACAUGAAUAUUUUAAAUGAUCUUGGCAUGAGUUUAAAACUUGAGGUAAGGUAUGAAGAGUGCAUAUGCUGGGAUCUAAGCGUUGAUAUAAACCAUUGUCAUUGGUGCGAUGCUUGAGGAUGUUUUGAAAGGUGUUUCUUGCUUAUGUACUUAAUUUUAAGUUGCUCGAGGACGAGCAAAAGUUAAAGUGUGAGGUGGUGAUAACGGGUGAAAAGUGCAUGUUUUGAGAGUGUUUGUGUAUUAUUUCGUAUGUAAGUUGCGGGAGUUCACAUCACUUUUGAAGUAAAAAUAUGCUCAUUACAUGUUUCUUAUGUGUAGGAAUAAACUUGCGCGAAAAGGAUCAAAUGGGAGAAAAAUUGGUGAAAAAAGAGUUGAAGAAACAAAUCCUGGCCAGCGAAGCGAGGUUCACUUCGCCAGACCGGGACCAAAGCAGAAGAAAUCAGGAAAGUCCUGGACAGCGAAAUGAGGUUCACUCCGCCAGAUCGGGACCGGAGCAUAAAAAUUCAGCUUUUCCAAUCCGAAUUAGGGGAAGCCAAUUCGGCCCCACUCAACCCUAAACCAUAUAAAUAUGAGAGUUAGCCACUUUUUGAAGGGAGAGAAGACUUUGGGGAGGCAAGAACACGCUAGGAACAAGAAGGAGAAGGAUUCCCUCUUUCUUCCUCUAUUUCUAUUAUUUGUUAUGAAUUCUAGUAUUGCAGUUUUGCAUACUAUUAUGAAUAGCUAAUUUGUUAUCUAGGGUUUUGAUGAAACCUUUUGUAGGUUGAAUUCUUGUUAUAUUUUUAUAUAAUUGAGUCGUUGGAUUUCUCUACUUGUUCAACUAUGUGUUUGUUGCUGUUGAUUGAGUGGCCGUCAAUUGACUGUGUCUAUUUAGUGUGUACUGCUCGAGAGAGAUUACACAUUUAGGUAGUUGUUGAACAACAUCACUCCUAACGUAUUUGAGAGAUCAAUACAGAGGGUUUAAAGGCGGGAUUAGAGAUAACGAAGCCUUGAUAUGAUCAUAGUGAGCGGUGAAUUAGUGCCAGCUAGUGUAGUUCGAGAGAAUACAUCUAGUAAAUUGUGGUAGUUGCUUGAGGGAGAAUUACGACAACCAAAGUAGUCACGAUCGGUAGAGAAUACUUAGGCGGAAUUAUAUAAGACUUAGCGUGAAGGAUUCCGACAAUUGGGAAAAUCAUAACUCUAGGCCUCCUUAAUCUUUUCUCCAACCCUUAGUAUCUUUAGUUAUUAAUUCGUUACUUUAAUUUGUUAGUUAGUUAGACAUAAGAAUCACAAUCUUUAUAACUGAGGAAUUGUUCGAACUUGUCUUCUUAGUGAUAGUGAACAACUAUAGCUAAAGCCUUAGUUCUCUGUGGGAUUCGACUUCGGACUUUUAGACUGGAUUAUAUUUGCAGCGUCCGCUUAUCUUUUUUAGGACUAGAGUUGGGCGUGAUCAGUGGGUGGAGGCAGCUUGUUCAUCGCGUUCACGAUUGGUUUCAUGCGAUCGCGAAGUGUAUUUUAUUGAGCUGGGGAGAAUUGUUCUACGUGAUUGCGAGUCUCUGUCCGCGAUCGCGAUAGAGGACGACUAGGCAGUAAUAUUAAUAAUUUCAAAAUGAGGGUUUCAUCUCAUUUUUUAUAUUUUGGACCUAGAGAGCUCGGUUUGUGGCGAUAUUUGGUGGGUUAUUCAAGAAAUUCAUGGGGGUAAGUGAUUCUAACCCGGAUUUGACCAUAUUUCGUGAAUCUAUUAUUAUUUUAAUUAUCUAAUUAGUGAUUUGAGUUGGAAAUUUGGGAAAAAAUUAUGAAAACUUCUUAGGCUAAAUUUUGGGGAUUUGAAAGGCGAAUUGAGGUCGGAUUUGAGUAAUUCUUAUAUGGUUGGACUCGUUUUCAAAUAGAUGUUCGGAUUUUAUAAUUUUGGCCAGGUUUUGAGGCACGGGCUCGGGCUGACUUUUGAGUUGACCUUUUGUUUUUUUUGUAAAGAUCGCAACUUUAUUGUUCGAAAUAGUUUCCUAUAGUUUAUAUUCAUGGUAUGAAGUUGUUUUUGCUAGAUUUGAGCCGUUCAGAGUUGGGUAAUCAAGGGAAGGACUUACUAGUGGAUUGAGUUAGCGUGUUUUGAGGUAAGUGUCUUGCCUAUCUUUGUGUGGGAGAAUUACCCCUUAGGAUUGGUGAUGUUUUGUGUUAAUUGUGAUGUGUGGAAGCCGUGUACACAAGGUGACGAGUGUGUACACAUGCUAAAUGUGGAAAUUUACCGGUUUUAGUUAUGUAGAUUCCUUUCAUGCCUUUAAUUGAGUUAUCGUAACAUGUUAUAUCUAUCAUCAUUAGUAUAUCGUCACAUGCUCUUAUUGUCUUAUCUCUUACUUGUUAAUAGCUCUACAUGUUUAGUUGAAGUUCUUGUUUCCUCUAUUUCUUAUUCAUUAUUUAACCGUUGAAUUCUUUUCUUGAAGUUGUUAUUCUUGGAAUAUCUUGUUGUUAAAAUUGGUAUUGAGUUAUAAAGGCCAUGAUUCACAUUGAGGCAAAGUGUUAAGUUGUGAAAUACUGUUCUUGUUGAGUUAUUUACUUCCGGUUGUUAUUGUUGAGACUCUUAUGUACAUUGUGGUUGAGCCAUGGACUAUUUAUUGUGGAAACACCGUUAUUGUUGAUUAUUUUGGCAAGUUGUGAUAUUGGGCACUUGAGGUGCGUUGUGAUAAUGAUACGCAUGUGAUGGUAUAAUGUUUUGGGGUUGAAACGCAUGCGGUGAGAUAAGGUGAGCUUGAUACGCAUGUUACUAGUAGGGGAACUACUUGAAGCCACGCGGUGUGAUAAUGUGGGCUAAAAAGUGGGAUGUUAUUUCGGAAAAAAUAAUUUUUAAAACUAAAUGCAAGUUUCCGUGGUGAUAUAAGGAAAUAUUGUGAAUUUUUUUGUGAUUUGAGACUACGAGGCGAUACCUCGGUAGUGGCUCUUGUUGAUACUUCUCUAUUACUUCACUUGUGUUUGGUUGUUUUGUUUCCUUGGCAUAACACUCCUUAUUUUCUUCCGUAAUGCAUUAUUUGUCUUAGUUCAGUGUAGUUAAUCUUGGUAUAUUUCUUACUUGUUCUAUUUCCAUUGUUAUUAUUAUUACACUGUUAAUUACUCGUUCUGUUUCUUAUUUAUUCUAGUAGGGCCUUGACCUGACCUCGUCACUACUCUACCGAGGUUAGACUUGGCACUUACUAGGUACCGUUGUGGUGUACUCAUGCUACGCUUCUGCACAUCCUUUUGUGCAGAUCCAGGUACCUCCUACCAGUCCAAGCACUAAUGAGACGAGCUCAACUUCAGAGACUUCAAGGUAUACCUUCCGGUGUCCGCAGGCCUCGGAGUCCCCCUCUAUCUAGUCUACUUCAUUUUCUUUCCUUUUAUAGAUACAUUAUUGUAUGGGGAUGAUAAGUACUUAUUCGUAGAGCUUGUGACUUGUUAUCACCGGAUUUUGGGAAGUUGUAUAUGCUGAGUUGCUGAAUUUAUUUUAUAUUAGUUGUUGAGUUAUUGAGACUUUAAUUAUUAUUUCUAUUAUAUUCUGCUUGAAUGUUAGGAUUACCUAGUCUUAGAGACUAGGUGCCAUCGCGAACUUCUUACAGAGGGAAAUUGGGGUCGUGAAGAAUCUAUUCGCAAAUGCGAACCUGAUGUCAUGACACUGAAAACCCGCCACAAGCGUCGUGAUGGCACUUAGUCUCUAAGAUUAGGUAAGCCGAUUUUAUAACAAUUCAAGCCAUAUUUUUAUAUAUAAACCAACAACAGAAAUAAUUACAAAUAUAACAACAUCCCAAGACUGGUAAUACUGAGUCACGAACUCUAACUGAAUAUAUGAAAUGAUCUCUAGGAUCGAAUACUCAAUACUGUUUGAUUAAUAAUUAACAGUACAAUAAAAUGAAAAGACUUCAAGGGACUGCGAUGACCAAGCAGCUCUAUCUUGAAUCCUUGCGAUCACACUUUAACUCACGAGUACUUUGCAUAUUGUUCCAACUGAAAUUUUCCAAUUUAUUUUUUAAAAUAAAUUCCGUGAAACAAUUUCACAACACAUAAUGAACCCCCAUACCGAUAGGGCGUAUAAUUCCUAAAAUUGUAAUCAAUUAUCCCGAAAUUACAUCAAAACCCACUGUAGUGAGUAACAGAAAGUCACUUUUGGACUCAUAACUCUAAAUAGUAUGCAAAACAACAUGAUAGACACGGGCUAACACCAUCAAAUCUCCCAACAUGGAUAAAUAUGUGAGUGGAGUACAAAUUCACAAACUCACCAUAUAAGGAGCAUGAAAGGAGCUUUCACCUUGAUAAUCGGAGUCUAUUUAAAACAAGAAUAGUGCUCCUCUAUUAUAAAUUAAAUCAUACUUGUAAAGACACCAUCUGGUGUAUCGGCCUCAGCCAAAUCAUAGCAAUUCUAUCAACGGUCUGGGCCUCCCCCUCUUGGGCGCCCUCUACUCGCCUGUCCUCCACCCCUAACUGGUUGUGCACGUGAAGUAUUAACUAGAAUAAAGCCUAUAGCCUGAGUAUUCUGAUGAAAUCCACCUCUCCCAAGUCUGGGACAAUCUCUCAUGAUGUACCUAGUAUCACCAUACUGAUAACAACCCCUCUGCGGGUUCAGCUGCUCAUACUGAGUCUGUGCCGGAUAACUGGAAUAAUCAUUAUAGGAAUCCCGUGCCGGUGGUGCAUUAAAAGAACUUACUGAAACACCCUGAGUAUUCUGAAAUUGUUUCCAUGACCCCGUUGAUACUGAACUGUAGAAUUAUUAAGGACGCGUGAAUACCGCAAGUCCCAACAUCAUCCCAUACAAAUCUCAGCUCUUAAUCAUAUACAAGUUUCAGAGAACCUUUCAAUACCACAUAAAUAUAUAUCAGGCCAAAACUGAUAUAACAUAUGACCCCGCAAUCUGAUAGUUGAUAGUGGAUUCCUCUCACUUGGAAUAAAGUCAUAGGACACAAUCUGAUAAUCCAUAAUACAAACCUUCACCGCUCGUACGUCACCGGUCAUAAGACACAUCAAGCCAUUUAUUGGGCGCAUGUCAUCUAGUGACAUUCAAAAUUGCUUCCUCGAGUGCCUUGACUACUAGUAUGUACCUUUCACUAAAUGAAAAUCCCAUACGAACUACAUAGUCUCUAAUACCACCAACUAUCUUCAGAUCUACAUCCAUCUCGUGACCCUACCGCGAUUGUGAUGAUUAGGCAAUUAAUUAAACCUUCUUAAGAUCAUACUUAUCAACCAGAUGUCAGAACCUGUUGCACCCCCAUGUGCACAACUGAAUGAUCUCUCAAUACUUCUGCAUCCUCGAUCUGGACGACACGUUGUAACAAUGGUUGAGCAACCCUGGCUCCCUUAUAACCCUUUUCUAGUAUCAUGAACCGUUGGCACAUAGUUGAUAUCGAGUGCGUAAUUUCAUACACGAGUGGAUGCAAAAGAACAUAAGAUAUAUGCUUCAAGCUCAAUAAAUACCGCACGAUAAGGAAUGAAAGAAGUGAAAUUUUUUCCUACUAGCUCUGUUGCCUCUCGAAGAUAAGUACAGAUGUCUCCGUACCGAUCCGCAAGACUCUACUAAACUCGUUCGUGACUCGUAAAACCUAUGAACCUAGAGCUCUGAUACCAACUUGUCACGAUCCAAAAUCCCGCCACAGGCGUCGAAAUGGAACUUAGUCUCUAAGACUAGGUAAGUCGAUUUUAUAACAAUUCAAGCCAUUUUUAAAAAUAUAUAAACCAACAACGAAAAUAAUUACAAAUAUAACAACCUCCCAAGACUGGUAAUACUGAGUCACGAACUCUAACUGAAUACAUGAAAUGAUCUCAAGGAUCGAAUAGUCAAUACUAUUUGAUUAAUAAUUAACAGUACAAUAAAAUUAAAAGAUUUCAAGGGACUGCGACGACCAAGCAACUCUAUCUUGAAUCCUUGCAAUCACACUUUAACUCUGUCCGAGUCCGAUAGCUCCAAUACCUGGCUCUGCACAAAAAUAUGUAAAAGUGUAGUAUGAGUAUACCACGGUCGGUACCCAGUAAGUAUCAAGACUAACCUCAGUGGAGUAGUGACGAGGUACCGUCGAGACACUUACUAGUCUAAUAACCUGUGCAAUAUAGUAUACAAAAAUAAUAGAAAAUAAAUAACAAUGAUGGCAAUAAUAAUCAAUCAGUUAUAUACAUAACAUGGUGACAAAAAUACCAUAAAUAUUGCGCAACAAAUAAUGAAUACAAGUACAACCAAUUAAUCAAGUCCUUCCAAUAUAAAUCUUUUGCCUAUAUGUUUUUCAAAUAAAAAUCUUCAGGAUAUAAUACUUUCAAAUAAAUCUCUUUCAAAUCUCUUUCAAAUAUAAUUCCUUCAAAUAAAUAUCUUUCAAAUAAAAUUCUUUUAAAUAAAUCUCUUUCGAAUAAAAGUCACCCGUGACAUAACAUUUCAAAAUGAUAAAAUACGGAUCUCAGCCCACUUUCAUAUUUUUACGGCACCUCAUGCCAAUUUCUCUAUCAAAACCGCACGGGCAAUUCACGUGUUAAAUAUCAUCAUCAUUUAACCACGGCACCUCGUGCCUACAUUUUAUAUCACAACUGCACGGACAAUUCACGUGCCAAUAUCAUCAUUAUUUACUCACGGCACUUCGUGCCCACAUUUCAUAUCACAACUGCACGGACAAUUCACGUGCCAAUAUAAUCAUUAUUUACUCAUGGCACCUCGUGUCCACAUUUCAUAUCACAACUGCACGGACAGUUCUCGUGCCAAUAUCAUCAUUAUUUACUCACGUCACCUCGUGCCCAUAUUUUAUUUUAUAAUCCGCUUGGCAAUAACCACAUGCUCCCAAUUUCAACAUAGANNNNNNNNNNNNNNNNNNNNNNNNNNNNNNNNNNNNNNNNNNNNNNNNNNNNNNNNNNNNNNNNNNNNNNNNNNNNNNNNNNNNNNNNNNNNNNNNNNNNNNNNNNNNNNNNNNNNNNNNNNNNNNNNNNNNNNNNNNNNNNNNNNNNNNNNNNNNNNNNNNNNNNNNNNNNNNNNNNNNNNNNNNNNNNNNNNNNNNNNNNNNNNNNNNNNNNNNNNNNNNNNNNNNNNNNNNNNNNNUAGCCACCCUUAUUUCUCCUAUAGCCACCCUUAUCGCUUCGCCUAGAUAAUAUCCCAACACACAUAACAACAGUGAAAUGCCACCCUUAUACCCACAUAAUAUCAACAGUGAAAUGUCACCCUUAUAUCCUCAAAAUAAUAACUCAAAUAACACAAUAAUUUACACGGAAUAUUAUCACGGCAACAUAACAAAAUAAAUUCAUAUCACAAUUUACCCAAUGGCCACAAUCAAUUCCAAAACAAAAAUUAAUUAAUUUCAUAACAAAUAAGGCUCCACACAAUGUGUAUAACACCUCAAAAUAACAACAGAGAUGGAAAAUACUCAGUAUAGGGCAACACCUUCAUUAGUCCAAAUUCUUGAUAAUUAUAUAAUGCCUCGGUUUAAACUUAUUUCAUUAAUUAUUUGUAGAUGGAAAAUCCGUAAUAUAGUUAUUUUCAGGAAAUAUCAAAUCACCAAACUCACGGAAUUUACAUAAAUAUUCAAGUAACAAUCACAUCAAAUUGUCAUAUAAAAAUAAAUUCAACAAAUAAGGAUUGAGACAUGGCAAAUAGAUGAUUUAAUAAAUGCCAACAAUUAUUCAAUUUAUUACACAAAAAUGCCUAAGACUUUAACCCAAUAAAAUUUUCACAUAUAAGCACGAGUACGUACUCGUCACCUCGCGUACACAGCUUUUCACAUUUCACAAAUGGCACAUAAGACUCGAAGUCUAAGGGGUAAUUCCCCCACUCAAGGUUAGGCAAGAUACUUACUUAUUUUAAAGUUAGGCCGAUAUUCCAAAAUUGCCAUUUUGCUUGAAUUGACCUCCGGACAACUUAAAUCUAUCCAAAUUAAUUCAAUUUAGUCAAUACUAAUUAUAGGAAUUAAUUCCAUAUGAAAAUACUAAUUUUCCAAUAAAUUCCGAAAUUUAACUCAAAGAUCGUCCGUGGGGCCCAUAUCUCGGAAUCCGACGAAACUUACAAAAUCCGAUAACCCAUUCAAUUACGAGUCCACCCAUACCAAUUUGAUCAAAUUCCGAUAAAAACUCGGCCUCCAAAUCUAAAAUUUCCGUUUUGAAAGAUUUUGCAAAAAAUUCAAUUUUUUCCAUUUAAAUCCGAAUUAAAUAAUGAAUAUAACCAUGGAUUUAUGAAAUAUAAUCACUUUUGGAUAUAGGACACUUACCCAAGUUAAAGUCUUGAAGAAAUCCUCAAAAUCUCCCAAGAACCGUGCUCCAGAAAUCCAAAACGAAAUGAAGGAAAUGACAUUUUUGGUCCUUAAGUUUCUGCCCAAAAAACACUAUUGUGGUAGCUAAAAGUCCAAUCCCGUUGCUAAAAGUGUUAAAUCUGGUCGCUAAAGGUGCGCACCAGAACUAUUUACACCAGUAGUUUUGUUUUACUAAAAAGACUUUAACUCCAUCAUAAGAACUCGAAAUUCGACGAUUCUUGUUCCUAUGAGUCACAAAUAAUAAUACGAACCUACUCGUUCAAUCGAAAAUCAAUUCGGAGCUCAUUUGCUUAAUGCGAUACCAAUUUCGCUCGUUAAAUAAUUAACUCAUGUUUCGCGCUAAAAACCCAACCGCAACUUGAUGGAAUUAGACCAAACUUUCCAGAUCACUCUUAUAAUUCAUUAUCAAAUUCUAGAACUAAAAAUGGACCUUUAGAUCAUUACAUACUUAUGCUGAAAAUAUCAAACUCUUCCAAAACUCUUCCCCGAUAGUUUGUAGUUUAUCAACCAUAUUUUCUUGUACUCAAAUCCAACUGCCAAACCAUUUAAAUUUCUGCAAACUAGAUAUAAAUGGCGACAACUUUCAUGUUUUGCUCACCGCCCAACUCCUUAUAGAUUGCGAGAUAUAAGCUCCCAAAGUCAGCUUUGCGUAUCAUAAAUUUCGCACAUUGCUGUAAAAAGAAUUAGUAGUUAAAAUUGAUCCGAAACCACUCUGAAACUCACCUAAGGUCAUCGGGAUCUCAACCCAAUAUACCAACAAGUUCUAAAAUAUUAUAUGAACUUAGUUGAAACCUCAAAUCAUAUAAAACAACGCUAAAACCACGAAUCAUACCCCAAUUCAAGCUUAAGGAACUUAAGAAUUUCCAACUUCUACAUUCGAUGCCGAAAGUUAUCAGUUCAAUUCUGAUUGACCUCAAAUUUUGCACACAAGUCUUAAAUAACCUAACAGAUCUAUAAAAAUUUUCAGAAAUGGAUUCCGACUCCGAUAUCAAAAAGUCAACUCCCCGGUCAAACUUCCCAAAAAUUCAACUUUCGUCAUUUCAAUCAAAAUUUCACUAUAGACUUCCAAAAUAUUUUUCGGAUAUGCUCCUAAGUCCAAAAUCACCAUACGAAGCUAUUGGAAUCAUCAAAACUCUAUUUCGGGGUCGUUUAUAUAUAAUUCACCAUCCAGUUAAUUAUUUCAACUUAAGCUUCCAAAACAAGAAUUGUUCUUUCAAUUAAAUCCUGAAUUAUCCGAAAACCAAACUUGACCACCCUCGCAAGUCAUAAUACGCAUUUCAAAGCUGCUCGAGACCUUAAGCCACUGAAUAGAAUAUAAAUUCUUAAAAUGACAAGUCGGAUCGUUACAUCUGACAUGGCUCAUCCUAUUAUCGAAAAUGCCACCCUAAACUCGCAAAUGCGAGAACUGAGACCUAUGCAAAAAAACCAACAGACUCCUUACUCUAUCAAACACUCUGCUAUGUGUCCGAAACUCACCCGAGCCCCCCGGGCUCCAAAUCGAAAUGCACACAAGUGUGAUAACAUCAUACGAUAUUGCUCGCACGAUCAAAAUACCAAAAUAAUACCUAAAACUAUGAAUCAAACAUCAAAAUGUAUAAAAGUUUCAAAGAAACUCAAGAACAUACAAAUUUACAACCAGACGUCCGAAUCACGUCAAAUCAAUUUCGUUUUGCACCAAAUUUUGCAGACAAGUCAUAAAUAGUGAAAUUAACCUAUACCAUAUUCCGGAACUGAAAUUCGAACCCGGUAGCAACAAAGUCAACCUACGGUCAAACUUAGGAAUUCUUUUAGCCUUUAAUUUACUAGUUUUCAAUAAAUUACGUUAAAUCAAGUUAGGGACUUCCGAAUUCGUUUCGAGGGCAUACGCCCAAGUCUCAAAUCACGAUACGGACCCACCAUGACCGUCAAAACACUGAUCCGGGUCCGUUUAUACAAAAUAUUGACUGUAAUCAACUCAAAUGAGUUUUAAGGCAACAUUUCACAUUUUUUUCAAUUUUUCACAUAAUUAUUUUUCAGAAAAAGACAUGGACUGCGCACGCAACUCGAGGAGGCUAAACUAUUCGAGAUCUCGGAACACAGAAAUGAAGGUUAAAACUCAAAGUGACCUAUCGGGUCAUCACAUAUUAUUACUAAUGUAAAAUUAUUUUUAUAUUAAUGAUAAAUAGUUUAAAAGAAUUAUUUCAAGAAAAUUAAAACAAGAGAGGUAACAGUAAUAUUAUUAACUACAAGGGGCCAGGAUAAGUUCUUUGAAUUGUCCCUAUUUUUAUUUAUGUGUAUGUUCUUCACAAGAAGGGUUGCUCUGAUGGUAAGCAACCUCCACUUCCAACUAAGAAGUUGUGAGUUCGAGUCACCCCAAGAGCAAGAUAGGGAGUUCUUGGAGGGAAGGAUGCUAAGGGUCUAUUGGAAACAGCCUCUCUACCUUAUGAUAGGGGUAAGGUCUGCGUACACACUACCCUCCCCAAAUCCCACUAAUGAGAUUAUACUAGGUUGUUGUUGUUGUAUGUUCUUCACAUUGCUACAAUAAAAAAAUCUGUUGUUUUGAAGGAUGCAAUAGUAAGGCAGACUUUUGUGACUGCAAAGAUCACCCAGAGCUUGGUACAUGUAUACCUGGUGUAGAUGAUGAUUCAGACAAAGAUGGAAAAUGUUAUAUUUACUGCAUCGAAAGUUGUGAAAACGGGGGAACUUGCAAACUGGUUGGGAAUAAAUAUGUCUGUCACUGCAAUUGUUAGCAGCUUACUUUUCACAUAUAAUAAAUAAUAUAAAUGAUGGAAAUCAAUGAUUAGUAAGUUUCCAUUCUUUGAUGAAUUAUAAUGUAUGUUUUAAUUUCAUCUAUGCGUAGUGAAAAAAUGAUUGAUGUUAUUCCCUUUUAUUUAUUUAUUUGGCAAGAGAAGCUAGAGAUCUAGUUAUAAGAUUUCAAUCCACUUGGUCCAAUUAACUAAACGUUUUCAACUAGAAACAAGGAAAAAUGCUUUAUUGAAAAGUUGCGCACUUUACAUUAUUAACUAAGAAUACCAUGUUGGGUUUUAUUUAUUAAAUAAAAGAGGUGUGAAUGAGAAAUAGAGAAAAAAGAAUUGGAGGAAAAUAAAAAGUUUGAAUUAUUCUUGCCACGACCCAAAAUCCGACUAGUCGUGAUAACACCUAACCCAACCCGCUAGGUAAGCCAAUUAACCACUAACCCAUUCUAAUAACAAUUAAUACAGAAAUUAAGUAAAGACAUAUCUGAAUCUUACACAUUUCCCAAGGACUGGUAGUACAAAUCAUGAAUUUCUAAGAUUAGAAUUUUACAAAGCUGGUGUGAAAUAAAAAUACAUCAUCUGUUUGAAAUAUACAUAAACAGAUUAAAAUUCUAAAGCUACCAUGAAUAAGAGGCAGCAAUGACUGGAAUACAGGUACAUCUUCAGAUCCAGCUCUCGCCAGGUACAGCAGCAUCAACAUCAAAAAUCUGCACGCAAGGUUCAGAAGUGUAGUAUGAGUACAACCGAUCCCAUGUACUCAAUAAGUAACAAACCUAACCUUAGGUUGAAAGUAGUGACGAGCAGGAACAAAGGUCGGUCCAACACCAAUAGCCAACAACAGUCCAUAAUAACGUAAAGCAAGUAAUAAAAGAAGUAACUCAGAGAUAAAAUGCUUAGCUAAAUCAUGAUUUCUGAAAAUAGUUCUGCCUUUCAAGUAUAUCAGAGAAAAACCCAAGUCGUUUACCGAAAUUGCCAAAAAUAUGAGUAAGUUUGAAAAUAAUAAUUUUCCCAAAAAAAUCCUUUCAACAAUAAAUAAGAUGUUUCAUUUCCUUUCCAGAUAGCCAGUGAAAAAUGCAUCACUAUGCCCAUAUGCCAAUAUGUGUGAGAAGUCAUGAAUGACGUGAUACCGUACAACAUGAGAAAACUGCAUCUCUAUGCCUGUAUGUGAAAUGUGCAUGUCAAUGCGAUGCAACUCACUCAUAAAACCAUAUGCAUACUCUCAGAGUAUCAUUUCACUCAGUCCUCCCAGUCACUCAGUCCUCACAAUCACUCGGUCCACACAGUCACUCAGUCCUCCUAAUCGCUCAACACUCGGCACUCGCACUCAGUAAGUACCUGCGCUCACUGGGGAUGUGUACAGACUCCGGAGGGGCUCUUUCAGCCCAAGCGCUAUAAUCUGCAUGGACAACUCACGUGCUAUGAUAUAAAUAUCUGGAUCCGCACAGACAACUCACGUGCUGCACGUAUAACUCAAGUGCUAUAGUAUCAAUAUCUGGAUCCGCACGGACAACUCACGUGCUGCACGGACAACUCACGUGCUGCACAGACAACUCACAUGCUACACGGACAACUCACGUGCUAUAAUGUAAAUAUCUCACAAUUAGGCCCUCGGCCUCACUCAGUCAUAAAUCUCUCCAGUCUCUCGGGCUCUCAGUAAUCAUGAAAAUUGACCCAAAAAUGAUGAUAUGAUAUAUCAAUAAUUAGCAACAGAGACUGAGAUAUGAUAUGAAAUGAAUGAACAUGACUGAGUAUGAAAUUACUAUUUGAACAUAUAAUUCAACCACAGAAAUGACUCCAAUGGGUACCAAUAAUAAUAACAUAUGUCUAAGCAUGAUUUUUAAUACGAGUCUCAGCUCAAUUUUCUCUAACACGUAGAGAAUGUUCAGAUAUAAAUAUGUUAUUCAACUUCACAGUUUCAUGAAAUUUGACCAAGUCACAAUUCCUACGGUGCACGCCCACACGCCCGGCACCUAGCAUAUGCGUCACUUCAAAACUAAUCACAUAUCACAUAAUCCGGGGUUUCAUACCCUCAUCUCUAAGAUUAGAAGAGUUACUUACCUCGAAUAAGCCGAAUCCAAAUAUCGAGCAAACUAAACAAUGCUCCAGAAAUUCCAUUCUGCGCGUAUCAACUCCCGAAUGGCUCGAAUCUAGCCACAAUUAAUUUGAUUCCGUCUACACAAAUUAUAGAAAUUAUUUCCAUAUCAAAAUACUAAUAUUUUCCCACAAAAAUUCGAAAUUACACUCCAAAAAUUACCCAUGGGGCCCACAUCUCAGAAUCCGACGAAACUCACAAAAUCCGACAACCUAUCCAAUUACAAGUUCAACCAUACUAAUUUCACUCAAAUUCGACUCCGAGUCGGUGUUCAAAUCUCGAAGAUUCAUUUUAUGAAAUUGUAGAAACUUUUUUCAAUUUUUCUUGAAAAAUCAAUAAUCUAACGCCGAAAACGAAGAUUAAUUCAUGGAAUAUAAUCACAAGGGAGUCAAGAACACUUACCCCAAGUUGUGUAAAAAAUUCCUCCCCAAAAUUGCCCAAACCGUGCUCCAAAAUUCGAAAAUGGGUGAAAAAUCACGAACCCUUGAACUUAAAGGGUUCUGUCCAGCGACUUCCGCAUUUGCGGUGGAAUAGUCGCAUCUGCGACAUCCGCUUCUGCGGACGAAGCUAGCUCCUGCGAAGGUCACUUCUGCGCGCAUAGGCCGCUUCUGCGCAUUCGCAUAUGCGCCCUGGCUUCCGCUCCUGCGGCCUUCGCUCAUGCGGCUGCCUUGUCGCACCUGCGAGCCCAUUUCCGCAGGUGCGAAAACACCAGAACCAGCAGGCUUCAACAAUGCAAUAUGCAACGAAAUUGAUCCGCACCUUGUCUGGAACUCACACGAGCCCCUCGGGACCCUGUCCGAACAUACCAACAAGUCCCAUAAUAUAAUACAGACCUACUCGAGGUCUCAAAUCACACUUAACAACAUUAAAACGAUGAAUCACAUCUCAAUUCAAAAUCAAUGAACUUUGAACUUUCAAAUUUUAUNNNNNNNNNNNNNNNNNNNNNNNNNNNNNNNNNNNNNNNNNUUGCCACCAAAACAUCUGUAGAGUCUUACCAUAUCAUAAUUACCCCUAUAAAUACCACAACCGAAACACCCACUCUGAAAAUACCUUAUUUUAGUCUAAGGCCAUUUCAUUCCACCUUUUUGAUACCGAAAUAUAAAAUCCAUAAUGAUAUACAAAAAUGCCACAUGUCUCGACACCAUCCAACUUAAAUCUCAGAUUUUAGCCAUAAACAAAUUCGUCAAUAAUUCUCAAUUUCUACAUAUUAAUCUUGAAUCCAUUAGAACUUUCUCGAGGGUCAUCCACUCUGCUCAAAUAUCAAUUGCACCACCAAACGGGCCGAAAGACACGUGCCCCAUUAGCACAACAACAUCCAAAGAAGUACCCCUGCCUUAACACUACCAAUCAAAUUCAUACUCCCUGCGCACUAUAUCCUUCAUAAAUAACAACUCACUCAUUCCAUGAUUUUCAUAUAUUUAUAAGUGCAAUAUAACCCGUAUCCAGGAAUUUCCUUACUCGAUUCAUCCUCGAUCUCAACCUCUGUAAGUCAUAACUAACCCACAAGUAUGUCUCAGACCAAAACUAAACCUUUACAUAUAACCAUGAAAUUGAUUUGUCAAUAGCAGGCUCCCCCACUUGGCUCAAAUCUAUAGAUUAGAACACUUGAUAACUCACAAUACCCAUACUCUAUUACUGCCAUAAUACCGCAGUCAGUUCAACAAAAAUUAUUCUUAAGCUCAUGCAACACCAACCAUAAAAUACCUCAAUCAUCCGCUAAACUCACAUUUAUUCUCUUGACACUCAGAUCAACUUUCUCACCUAGAUUCAAAUUCAAAUCUCAACACAUACACUCCGAUGGUAGAAAAGAAACUCUCCACUCAACAUUAUAAGGAACACACCUACGUACAUUACUCUGCAGGAGAUAACCUACUUGCUUAUCCUCAAAUUGGCAUCUUGUUAUACCCUUUCACAACCACAGUUAAUAUGCAAUAACUUAAUCUUUCUGAGUCCAAACUCAUUAACAAGACAUGAAAAUCUAAUUCUCUCCAUAAUUAACCUGCAUGAUAGAUCCUUCAACACACUCACAGUUCGAGACUGUACGUCAUAUCAAACGAAAAUCAAGCACCCAAUAGCCCUCUUUACAUUCCAAGGAAACACUUCUCGUCACAUUCAAUCCAUCUUAACACGUCCCGCAAUCGCAUCAUCCUCAUCAUAUAGCUAUUCGACCGCUCAUCGAGCCACAAAUUUUUCACUUAUAUGGAUACUACCUGACAUAUGAGUCCAAAUGUACAUGUUACAACUGAAGCUACCGAGCCUAAGCUACGGUCCAAACCUGGCCUCAAGUCCUCCAGACUAGCCUUUCACCAAAACACAGAAUACACAUCUCACACGUCAUCCCUAAAAUCACAAGCCGACGAUACACAGCUGAUACUGAGCGCUCACAUGCAAAUACGAAUGCGUGGAAGGAAUUCAAAGAGUUAUGUUUAAGCUGAAUCAAUUUCGCACGAUAAGGAAAGAAAGAUGGGAAGUUAUCCUAAAUGCCCUAUAGCCUCUCGAAGAUAAGUAUGGACGUCAUCAUACCGAUCCGCAAGACUCUACUAGACACUUGCUCAUGACUGGUAGAACCUAUGAACCUAGGGCUCUGAUACUAACUUGUCACGACCCAAAAUCCGACUAGUCGUGAUGACACCUAACCCAACCCGCUAGGUAAGCCAAUUAACCACUAACCCAUUCUAAUAACAAUUAAUAUAGAAAUUAAGUAAAGAUAUAUCUGAAUCUUACACAUUUUCCAAGGACCGGUAGUACAAAUCAUGAGCUUCUAAAAUUAAAAUUUUACAAAGCUGGUGUGAAAUAAAAAUACAUCAUCUGUUUGAAAUAUACAUAAACAGAUUAAAAUUCUAAAGCUACCAUGAAUAAGAGGCAACAAUGACUGGGAUACAGGUACAUCUUCAGAUCCAGCUCCCGCCAGGUACAGCAGCAUCAACAUCAAAAAUCUGCACGCAAGGUGCAGAAGUAUAGUAUGAGUACAACCGACCCCAUGUACUCAAUAAGUAACAAACCUAACCUUAGGUUGAAAGUAGUGACGAGCAGGAACAAAGGUCGGUCCAACACCAAUAGCCAACAACAGUCCAUAACAACGUAAAGCAAGUAAUAAAAGAAGUAACUCAGAGAUAAAAUGUUCAGCUAAAUCAUGAUUUCUGAAAAUAGUUCUGCCUUUCAAGUAUAUCAGAGAAAAACCCAAGUCGUUUACCGAAGUUUCCAAAAAUAUGAGUAAGUUUGAAAACAGUAAUUUUUCCAAAAAAAUCCUUUCAACAAUAAAUAAGNNNNNNNNNNNNNNNNNNNNNNNNNNNNNNNNNNNNNNNNNNNNNNNNNNNNNNNNNNNNNNNNNNNNNNNNNNNNNNNNNNNNNNNNNNNNNNNNNNNNNNNNNNNNNNNNNNNNNNNNNNNNNNNNNNNNNNNNNNNNNNNNNNNNNNNNNNNNNNNNNNNNNNNNNNNNNNNNNNNNNNNNNNNNNNNNNNNNNNNNNNNNNNNNNNNNNNNNNNNNNNNNNNNNNNNNNNNNNNNNNNNNNNNNNNNNNNNNNNNNNNNNNNNNNNNNNNNNNNNNNNNNNNNNNNNNNNNNNNNNNNNNNNNNNNNNNNNNNNNNNNNNNNNNNNNNNNNNNNNNNNNNNNNNNNNNNNNNNNNNNNNNNNNNNNNNNNNNNNNNNNNNNNNNNNNNNNNNNNNNNNNNNNNNNNNNNNNNNNNNNNNNNNNNNNNNNNNNNNNNNNNNNNNNNNNNNNNNNNNNNNNNNNNNNNNNNNNNNNNNNNNNNNNNNNNNNNNNNNNNNNNNNNNNNNNNNNNNNNNNNNNNNNNNNNNNNNNNNNNNNNNNNNNNNNNNNNNNNNNNNNNNNNNNNNNNNNNNNNNNNNNNNNNNNNNNNNNNNNNNNNNNNNNNNNNNNNNNNNNNNNNNNNNNNNNNNNNNNNNNNNNNNNNNNNNNNNNNNNNNNNNNNNNNNNNNNNNNNNNNNNNNNNNNNNNNNNNNNNNNNNNNNNNNNNNNNNNNNNNNNNNNNNNNNNNNNNNNNNNNNNNNNNNNNNNNNNNNNNNNNNNNNNNNNNNNNNNNNNNNNNNNNNNNNNNNNNNNNNNNNNNNNNNNNNNNNNNNNNNNNNNNNNNNNNNNNNNNNNNNNNNNNNNNNNNNNNNNNNNNNNNNNNNNNNNNNNNNNNNNNNNNNNNNNNNNNNNNNNNNNNNNNNNNNNNNNNNNNNNNNNNNNNNNNNNNNNNNNNNNNNNNNNNNNNNNNNNNNNNNNNNNNNNNNNNNNNNNNNNNNNNNNNNNNNNNNNNNNNNNNNNNNNNNNNNNNNNNNNNNNNNNNNNNNNNNNNNNNNNNNNNNNNNNNNNNNNNNNNNNNNNNNNNNNNNNNNNNNNNNNNNNNNNNNNNNNNNNNNNNNNNNNNNNNNNNNNNNNNNNNNNNNNNNNNNNNNNNNNNNNNNNNNNAUUUCACUCAGUCCUCCCAGUCACUCAAUCCUCACAGUCACUCAGUCCUCCUAAUCGCUCGAUACUCGGCACUCGGCACUCGCACUCAGUAGGUACCUGCGCUUACUGGGGGUGUGUACAGACUCCGGAGGGGCUCCUUCAGCUCAAGCACUAUAAUCUGCACGGACAACUCACGUGCUAUAAUGUAAAUAUCUGGAUCCGCACGGACAACUCACGUACUGCAAGGAUAACUCACCUGCUAUAAUAUCAAUAUCUGAAUCCGCACGGACAACUCACGUGCUAUAGUAUCAAUAUCUGGAUCCGCACGGACAACUCACGUGCUGCACGGAUAACUCACGUGCUAUAAUAUAAAUAUCUCACAAUCAAGCCCUCGACCUUACUCAGUCAUAAAUUUUUCCAUUCUCUCGGGAUCUCAGUAAUCAUGAAAAUUGGCCCAAAAAUGAUGAUAUGAUGUAUCAAUAAAUUGCAACAGAGACUGAUAUGAUAUGAAAUGAAUGAACAUGACAGAGUAUGAAAUUACUAUUUGAACAUAUAAUUCAACCACAGAAAUGACCCCAGUGGGUACCAAUAAUAAUAACAUAUGUCUAAGCAUGAUUUUUAAUACGAGUCUCAGCUCAAUUUUCUCUAACACGUAGAGAAUGUUCAGAUAUCAAUAUGUUAUUCAACUCCACAGUUCCAUGGAAUUUGACCAAGUCACAAUUCCUACGGUGCACGCCUACACGCCCGUCACCUAGCAUGUGCGUCACCUCAAAACCAAUCACAUAUCAUAUAAUCCUGGGUUUCAUACCCUCAUCUCUAAGAUUAGAAGAGUUACUUACCUCGAACAAGCCGAAUCCAAAUGUCGAGUAAGCUAAACAAUGCUCGAGAAAUUUCAUUCUAUGCGUAUCAACUCCCGAACGGCUCGAAUCUAACCACAAUUAAUUUGAUUCAGUCCACAUAAAUUAUAGGAAUUAAUUUCAUAUCAAAAUACUAAUAUUUUCCCACAAAAUUCAAAAUUACACUUCAAAAAUCGUUCGUGGGGCCCACAUCUCAGAAUCUGACGAAACUCACAAAAUCUGACAACCCAUCCAAUUACAAGUUUAACCAUACUAAUUUCACUCAAGUCCGACUCCGAAUCGGUGUUCAAAUAUCGAAGAUUCAUUUUAUAAAAUUGUAGAAAAUUCCUCCGAUUUCUCUUGAAAAAUCAAUAAUCUAACGCCGAAAAUGAAGAUUAAUUCAUGGAAUAUAAUCUUAAAGGAGUCAAGAACACUUACCCCAAGUUGUGUGAAAAAUUUCUCUGCAAAAUCGCCCAAACCGUGUUUCAAAAUCCGAAAAUGGGUGAAAAAUCACGAACCCUUGAACUUAAAGGGUUUUGUCUAGUGACUUCCGCAUCUGCGGUGGAAUAGUCGCAUCUGCGACAUCCGCUUCUGCGGACGAAGCUCGCACCUGCAAAGGUCAUUUCUGCGCGCAUUGGCCGCUUCUGCGCAUUCGCAUAUGCGCCCUGGCUUCCGCUACUGCGGCCUUCGCUCCUGCGGCUGCCUUGUCGCACCUGGAGUCCAUUUCCGCAGGUGUGAAAAUACCAGAACUAGCAGCCUUCAACAAUGCAAUAUGCAACGAAAUUGAUCCGAACCUCGUCCGAAACUCAGCUGAGCCCCUCGGGACCCUGUCCGAACAUACCAACAAGUCCCAUAACAUAAUACGGACCUAUUCGAGGCCUCAAAUCACACCUAACAACAUCAAAAUGAUGAAUCACAUCUCAAUUCGAAACCAAUGAACUUUGAACUUUCAAAUUCUAUAUCUUGUGCCAAAACGCAUCAAAUCAAUCCAAUAUGAUUUUAAAUUUUUCACACACGUCAUAAAUGACAUAACGAAGCUAUUUCCAUUUCCAGAAUCGGAUUCCAAUCCCGAUAUCAAAAAGUCAACUCCCCGGUCAAACUUCCCAAAAAUUUAUUUUUUUGCCAUUUCAAGCCUAAUUCCACUACGGACUUCCAAAUAAUUUUCCGGACAUGCUCCUAAGUCCAAAAUCACCAUACGAAACUAUUCGAAUAAUCAAAAUUCAAAUCCGAGGCCGUUUACACAUAAGNNNNNNNNNNNNNNNNNNNNNNNNNNNNNNNNNNNNNNNNNNNNNNNNNNNNNNNNNNNNNNNNNNNNNNNNNNNNNNNNNNNNNNNNNNNNNNNNNNNNNNNNNNNNNNNNNNNNNNNNNNNNNNNNNNNNNNNNNNNNNNNNNNNNNNNNNNNNNNNNNNNNNNNNNNNNNNNNNNNNNNNNNNNNNNNNNNNNNNNNNNNNNNNNNNNNNNNNNNNNNNNNNNNNNNNNNNNNNNNNNNNNNNNNNNNNNNNNNNNNNNNNNNNNNNNNNNNNNNNNNNNNNNNNNNNNNNNNNNNNNNNNNNNNNNNNNNNNNNNNNNNNNNNNNNNNNNNNNNNNNNNNNNNNNNNNNNNNNNNNNNNNNNNNNNNNNNNNNNNNNNNNNNNNNNNNNNNNNNNNNNNNNNNNNNNNNNNNNNNNNNNNNNNNNNNNNNNNNNNNNNNNNNNNNGGACCCGAACCAACUGACCUGGUAAGUCAUAAAAUAAAUGUAAAGCAUAAAUUGAGCGGUAAAUGAGAAAACAGAUCUGUAAUACUCAAAACGACCGGUCGGGUCGUUAUAGUUCCUUUUUACUAAGACACUUUGUUCCUCAUUGGAUAGAAAGAGGAAAAUUCUCGUUCUUAUAUAUAAAAGCACUUUUUGUAGAUCUUAAAAAGUUGAGAAGAGAGCAAGCCUCGCAUCGUUGUUGCUCGGCUCUGCUUCGGCUUCGGAUCCAAUAACUUUGGGCAACAGUGAGGGGGUUAAAUCCCUUGAGGACACCCAAAAAACUUAUGAACUAGGAAUUUUCUGUUUUUGUUUAUUGCACUAACGUUUUAUUGCCUCUCUAAUUUUCUGAUUUUUAACACGGAUUACUAACAUACCCAAAUACAAUUGACGAAAUCAAUGAAUUGCUUGCCACCAUAUUAUAGAGGAUUAACUUCAAUUCUGUUGGCCAUUUCAUGCCAAUGCUUCAACCUUGAUAACUAGCACACUCUUGGCACGUACUAUCUCAUAUAUUGAGUCUCACCUAUGUCCGCAUUAAGGGUUUUUCACGACCAGGGCCGACUGUAACAGUGUAUGAGGUAAGGCGUGCCUUAGGCCCCAAAUUUUUGGGGGCCUCAUUUUUAGGAAUAAUAUAUAUUUUAUAGGUUUAUAGGUUUAUCACUUAAAAAUAAUAGAAAAAUAGUUUUCAAUUUGAUUUGAUUUGGCAAUUCUACUUUUUACUCUUCUUCCCAAGUAAAUCCCAACGUUUCAAUUUCAUUUCACAUACCUUCUUCCUUCCUCUUUAUUCAUGUUCAUCUUCUUUCUACUAGAUUUCUUUUUUUUUUUCUCCAACAAGCCAACAACUAGAUAUUUUGGAAUUAAAGUCUUCAAACUUCUUGAAUCAAGUUAUUGGGUAAUAUCAUUCGAACUUUCUAGUAUUAUUUUCAUCUGUUAUUUAUUAUUUUAUUAAUUUUACUCUAUACAUAUUGUUUAAUUUUUUUUAGAAUAUAAAUAUGUCAACAAGAAAAUAUGCAUCCGGUUAUUCAAAAAUCCAAAAGAAAAGAAAAGUUAAAAAUUUAAUAAAAUCUCAAAAAGGAGCUCUUGACAAAUUUUUGACAAACAAUGAAAAAAUUAAAUCGCAAAAUAUAGGAGAAUAUUCUGUAGAUGAACAAGUCACUAACUUAGUUAAGUCAGAUGAUAAUAAAAUCCAAAUUGAAGAGGAAGAGGUUUAUGAGAAAUCUGACGAGAUUCUCAAGAAAAUCAAGAACUAAUAAAUAAAUUAAAUAAUGGCAUUCCUAAAAAUAUAUAUCAAUUGAAAAGAAAUAUUAGAAAAAAUCGAUUAUAAAAAAAUUAUUAACAACUUUGCAUCUCAAAAAGUUAGAAGAAUAGAUUUUAAAUAAAAAUAUAUAUUAUAACGUUCUUAUAAAUACUUAGGCCCCAUAUUAAACUUUGGCCUUAGACCUCACAUGCGCUUGAGCCGCCCCUGUUCACUACCCAAUUGUGACAAGGUUGAGUAUAUUCACAUCGUACUCAGUAUGUAUCAAUCGACUCCCUCACUCAAGACUGAGACAAGGCUUAGAAAAUUAUAAUGUAUGUAUGUGCAAAAUAAUUUCGCAAAUAGUCAUACAUUUCAUAUUCCAAAGCAUUUGCGAAACCAAUCACGUUGUCCCUCAGAAUGAGCUACACGAGCUUAUUUAUUAUUAGUAUAAAUUUUAAUAUAUCAGAUCGGUGAAUUCAAUACCAAAUGAGUUAAACAAAAAAUAAAUGAGUAAAAACCAAAAACCAAAAAUACGAAAGUUCUUUUUCGUUUGAUAUUCUAUCUACACUUUGUUAUUUACUCAUUUUUAUGCAUUAUCUCACCAUUGUGCCUAUAGAGAGCGCAUAGCCUAGUCAUAUAAAAGAAAAUCCUAGGAAUAAAGAAAGAAAUAGAGAAGUCCAUUGAUAUUUACUAGGAGAUAUUAAAAGGAUCUUUACAUAAAUAGCGGACCGGAUUUAUUGUUUACUUUUCCUAAUAGAUAUAUAUAAAUAAUAUACUGAUUAUACACAAUUAUGCAGAAUUAUACGUAUAUAAUACUUCCAACGUUUUUAGUUUAAACAAUUAGGUGAGCGACUAUUUAGGUUAAUUUUUUAUAUUAAAAUUAUAAUUCCAUAUAGAAGUAGUGAUUAUGACAACUUACUCACAUAAUCAGACUAAGCAUCCAUAAUAUAGCAGGCUCUUAAAUUUGUUUAUUAUUUUGUACAUACGUCCUACCUUUUUUUGGCCUAAGAUGGGAAGAGAAUAAGCACUACUUUCUUUUUUCUAUGAUGGUUAUGAAUAAUAGCAAUCUUAUUAUAGAUACAUGUAAUAUCAAAACCAAAGACCUCUUGUCAUUUUUCACUAUAAAUAACUCAUUUUUCAUUAAGAUUGAGACGCACCAAUUUAUAAAACUGUUUCUUUUAGCAUGGCUAUCAAGAGGGUUAAUUUAGUUCUUUUUGUCACACUCAUUGUUCUUAUUAUAGGUACUUCAUAUGUGUUUUCACUUUCUUUUUUUUCCCAUUAUUGUUUGAAUUUUUUUGGUAUUCUUUUUAUGAAAGAUAUGUUUGAUUCAUAGAAGAAUGUGCUCGUGAUAGUCUCAUUCUGGUCGCUUUCAUGUUUGAGUGGAAAAUUUAAUUUGCUAAUAAGAACAUGGAAAUUUGUAAUCCUUAGGAUUUGUAAACUGAUUAGAUUAUCAGAUUAUAAAUUCAUUUGAUAAAAAGGUGCAAAACAUACCACACUAGUCUAGCCAUAUAUUUCAAAAUUGUCCUUAACUUUUUUCUUGGUUAUUAGUUCUUCAAUUGAUUUAUGUGAUAUAAUUUCCUUUUUAGCAUAUUGAAAAAGAAAUGAUAUAUUUUUAUAUUUAAAAAUAAUUUAACUUUAAAAUUUUAUUUAUCCUUAAUGAUGAUUUUAUAGCCACAUAAAAAUAUCGUGACAUGUUUAACAUCAUAAAUUUCAAAAAUCGUAAUGGUGUUUUACUUUGUAGGUUGCAAUAAUAUGACUGAUGCAUCAGUAUGUUGCCAGGAUCAUCCAGAGGUUGGUCCAUGUGUACCUGGUGUAACUGAUAAUCCAGAUAAUGAUGGCAAAUGUUGGACGUUCUGUGUCAAUGACUGUGAGCUCGGAGGAACUUGCAAAUUAGUUGGAAAUAAACACGUUUGUCACUGCCGUUGUUCUUUAUAAUAGUUUUCACAUAAAAAAAGUAAAUGAUGGAAAAAGAAUGAUUAGUUUCAAUAAAUUUCUAUUGAUUUUGAUGGACUAUAAUGUAAGUUCUAAUUUAUAAAUUUUAUUUCUUUUUUCUAAUAAGAUUUGGAAUGAAUUUUCUCAUAGAAGGAUAGAUGUUGUUUUCUUUUAUCUACUAGCAAGAGAAGAUAAAUGUCUUGCUAUCCCAUUUGGAUCAACUUGGUCUAUUUGAAAUGUUUUCAACUAUAGGGGGAAUGUUUCUAAUUAAUGAAAUUGCUCUUGUAACUAUGUUUCACAAAACCCAAGCACAAUAGAUGAAGUUAAUUACUUGAUAUCUUAAUCUCAUUCUAUGUAUAGGGGUUUUACAGUACGAUCGAUAAGUAAUUUCUUACAUAUAUAAUUAUAUAUUGUGUAGAAAAUAUUAGUUUGGUUAAACUCAUUGUUUACAUCCUACGCUACAUUUGCCACUAUCGCGAGCUGUUCUAAUUUUUAAUUUUAGGAUCGAGGGUGUCAAGAUCCCCGGCUCUGCUCAACGAAAUCUAAUAUAAGUGAUGUUUUACUGCUCUUAUUGUUUAGAAAUUAGAAGGAUAUCCUCCUCCUAGAAUCAUACAAGUUUACUCUCAGCUGAACUUUAUUUAAUCUGAUGUGGGAAACUAUAAAAUUUUAAAUGCUUAAAGUAUUUUUAUCUAACUUGUCCAAGUAUACAUGAAUUUAGAGAAGCUUCUUCUUUGGUAUAGGAGAAUGGAGUACCCUUAUUAAGGUACUUUGUAGUUGCCCCAAUGCCAAGGAUACCUCAUACUCGUCUGUGACGAUCCGAUAGGUCGUUUUGAGUACUAGCAUUAAUUUUAGUAUUUCGAGACCUCUUAUAGCUUCCUUUGAUAUUUAUCGAUUUGCGUGCGUGGUUCGUGUUGUUUUUCGAAAAGCUUUUACGUAAAAUUUUGAAGAAUAUAUGAUUUUUGGCCUAAAAUGAGACUUGGGUUGACCACGGUCAACAUUCUUGGUAAACGACUGUGGAUCAUUGUUUUGAUAAUUCUGGUAGAUUCAUAUGAUAUUUUUGGACUUGUAUGCACGUUUGAUUGGGGUUUGGAGUGACCCGAGAGCAUUUCAACGCGUUAUGUGAAAAAUUAUGGAAAUGAGUUUUAAAGUUGAAAUUCUUGAGUUUUGAUGAUCGAUUCGUGUUAUUUGAUGUCAUUUUGAUGAUUUGAGGCAGCGAGCAAGUUUGUAGGAUGUUAUUACACUUGUGUACAUAUUUGGUUUGGAGUCCGAAGGGCUCAGAUAAAUUUCGGAUGAGUUUGGAUAAUUAUGCAACUGCUGGUGCAUUUCAAUUGCUCGUGUAUGUUGUAGAUCUUGCAAUUGCGAGCCUCGCUUUUGUGAUUGUUAGGUUUAGAAUUUUAAUAAUGAUCAAUAAUCAAAAGCGCCUUAACUAAUGCCAUUCCACUUUGUGUGUAGAUUCGCAACAACUCUAAUGAAUGCAAGAAAGGAAAGAAAAUCAUCUAAGCAUAUAAGAGGGAGCCAACGACUAUGUUAUUCAAACUCCAUGUCAAAUGGAUAUAAAGAUGGAAAAAGAAUCAAUCAAACAAGCAACAAGGAAGGAAAGAAAAUCAAUCAAACAAGCAAAAGAUUCUAGAGCAUACAAGGAAGGAAAAAGAGCCAAUGUAACACCCUAGACUUUAGACAGAGUCCCAUAUCGACAAAACAUAAGAGGGAUACUGGGUAUAUAAGUUAACAAGCCUUAGACCCUAGUGAUGCAUUUUAAACCCGUGAGGGCCUAGGCCCAUAGCGGACAAUAUCACUAGCGGGCUGGGCUGUUACAAAUGGUAUCAUAACCGCUCUUGUGUCAGCCUUUCCGAUAGUGGGUCAGAGUUCAACUGAGUUUAGGCAAAUCCCGGUUUGGCGGGGCAAACCUCAGUGCUGAGUCUAGGCGAAUCCCAUGCGGUAGGGCAAACCUCAACGAGGACGUUGAGUCCAUAAGAAGGGGUAUAUGUAACACCCCAGACUUUAGACAGAGUCCCACAUCGACAAAACACAAGAGGAAUACUGGGUAUAUAAGUUAACAAGCCUUAGAAUCUAGUGACGCAUUUUAAACCCGUGAGGGCCUAGGCUCAGAGCGGAUAAUAUCACUAGUGGGCUUGACUGUUAUAGCCAAUCAAGAGAAAUCCGCGGAAAUUCUUAAGAGAAGUAAAUUGGAAAUAUGAUGGAGCCAAACCUCAAACUGAGAAUGAAUCUGGCCAUAUCAUCAAUCAGAUUCAUGAGGCUACUCUUGGGUCCUACUCUUAGAAGAUUAUGCCUCACAAGGAAAAGACCUCCAAUCAAUGAUCUUUCGCAAUCCCAGAAAAGAGAAAUCAGAAGCCUCAUCGAGCACUAUUAAAGAAGAAGUGGAAGGACAAGGAAGCUCACGCAACUUGACAUAUAUUUCUAUACCUUUCUAUUUCUUAGUACAAACACUGUAUUCUUGAGUUUACAAGUGUCACAAAAGAUAGGAAGAGUUAGAAAACAAAACAAGAGUUGUGUCAAAGUUAGAUAAACACUAUUGCUGGAUAUCGUUGGUGGUGAACGUACUAAAACUACUACUGUUGUAAAGACUUAUUGAAGAUCUAAGAGAACGCUUGUGACCCAAGAAAAAUGGAUGUAGGUACCACACCGAUACUGAACCAGUAUAAAAUUUUUGUGCCUCAUUUACUUUUUUAUUCUGCAUAAUUUACUUCUGCUGAAAUCAAAUCUGCUAUAAAGUUUAGUCGACUAAUUCCUCUCCUAGUAAACUAAGUUUUAAGGGGCUAUGUAGGAUGUUACUGAGAAGUUGACCAAAGUUACCAAGGAGAUUGAUGCCUCCUAUGAUAGUUUCUGCACCAAAGUGAUCAACACUAUGAAAUAUUUCCUUAGGAGGAAUUGAGUGUCUGGGCUGUUUAAACAAUCUUUUCUUUGUUUUUUAUGCUGUUUGAUAAAACUCCUCUUUUGGUUGUGUUUUUUGGAUGGGCAUACAGUUGACUAUGUCCACGUUUUCCUAGUAUAACUGUUAGAUAUAUAUAAUUAUGCAUGCUCUAACUAUUAUUAUUACUAACUAUUUUCCUUCGUAUCUCUUGUUCUUUUUGAUUGAUGUCAAAAGAGGAGAAGAAAAAGAGUACAAAGACAGGGGCAUCGUGCAAACAAGGUCACAAAGAUAGGGGGAGCAGAAGUACACACCUUGAAAGGGAAGUAUACCCUAAAUUCGUCAAACUCUUUUUGGAUUAUUGUCAUCAUAAAAAAAAGGGAGAUUGUUAGGUUUAAAAAUUUAAUAAUGAUAAAUAAUCAAAAAUGCCUUGACUAAUGCCAUUCCACUUUGUGUGCAGAUUUGCAACGGCUCUGAUGAAUGCAAGAAAGGAAAGAAAAUCAUCUAAGCAUAUCACAGGGAGCCAACAUCUAUGUUAUUCAAACUACAUGUCAAAUGGAUAUCAAGAUGGAAAAAGAAUCAAUCAACAAGCAACAAGGAAGGAAAGUAAAGAAGAAAAAGAUUCUCGAGCAUACAAGGAAGGAAAGAGAGCCAAUCAAGAGAAAUCUCCGAAGUUCUUAAGAGAAGUAAAUCGAAAAAUGAAGGAGCCAAACCUCAAACUGAGAAUGAAUCUGGCCAUACCUCUCAGCCAGAUUCAUGAGGCCACCCUUGGGUCCUACUCUUAGAAGAUUAUGCCUCACAAGGAAAAGACCUCCAAUCAAUGAUCUUUCGCAAUCCCAAAAAAGAGAAAUCAGAAGCCUCAUCGAGCUGUCACGACCCAAAAUCACCAAAGGUCGUGAUGGUGCCUAACACAGCCAUCAGGAAAGACAACUGUGAUUUAAUCAACUAAAAUUUUCAUUUUAGUAUUUUGAAAUCAGAAUUUUCCUUAAUUAAAUAGUAGAAAUAGAAUUACAAGGAAAAACGAUAAUGACUACGUGAACUAAUAUUACGAACAACCAGUAGAAAUUCCCAAAAUCUGGUGUGAUAAGUGCAUGAGAAUUUUCUAAGGAAUACAAUAAUAAUAUUACAAUGUUUGUCCCGAAUAUAAAAAGAAAGAAUAAAAUAAAUAGUACAAUGGAGACUCGGUGGACUGCGAUGCGUAGCCUGGAAUACAGCUCACAUAAAGUCUCCUUAACAGGUGUACCUACGUGCCGGGAUGAUCACCAAAUGAACCUGUCAGUUCCUGCAUAUUUAGUGCAGAAGUGCAACAUGCGUACGUAAAUUAACUCAUACCCAGUAAGUAUCUAGCCUAACCCUAGAGAAGUAGUGACGAGAUGUCGACAUCGACACUUACUAAAGGUCCAAUAAAGCAAUAUAAUAAAACUUAAGUAGAUAUACAACGUACGACAAUAAUAAGAUAAAUUUGUAAGGCUCAUAAUCUUCUAAUUAUUUCUUUUAAAGUAUAAAUUUCUUGAUCUUGUAUCCUGCCUUAACAACUCAGAAAUUAUCAAGUGCCAAUAUCAAAUAAAUAAGGAACACCGUAUAAUAUGUCGGGCAUCGAUAGAAAGAUUUAACUCGUGAACAUUUAGACUACUAGCUAUAUACCACACGAUUCUGCCGAGGUCGUUCGGACCGAUCCAGAAUAACGUAAACACUACCGAGGGCGAGCGGCGCGAUCCAUAAAUGUAUCUAUAUACUGCCGAGGCGUUCGGCCCGCUCCACAAGAAAAGGGAAGGAACUUACCGAAUUCCAAGACACAUGUUUACAAUGCAGCACAUGAGCACAAAAAUAAAUUAAAUCUUACCAUUUCUCAAUUUACUCGCCCACAACUCAAAGUGUUAAGGCUUAGCCUGGUAUACAUAUAAUUAUUUCUAUUUUCAUUUCGAUUAUAACUACAAUUAAUUAAGCUAGAAGAAUGGAUUUAAAUAAUUCAAUUAGUACAUGAUAUGGUCCAAAAUCUUCCCGGACAUAAAUAUGCAUUAGCUACGUACGGACUCUCAUCACCUCGUGCGUACGUAUCACCCACAACUAGUUGCACAUAACAAGAAUUAUCACCUAGGGGGUAGUUUCCAUCUCACAGAGUUAGACAAGAGACUUACCUCGCUCCGAAGUUUUAUAACCGGCUCCAAAGCCUCUCUAAUACCUCAAACAAAUGUGCAAACCAAUCAAAAUAUACUCUAAUACCCAUAAUCGAUCAAUUUAUAUAAAUUCCCAACUUCGCUCGAAAAGUCUAUAAAAUCAACCCUCGGCCCCACGUGCCCUGAUUCCGAAAAUUUUCGAAGAUAAACUUUACCCAUAACACCAUGAACUCACAUAUAUAACUUAUCCCAAAUUUCAUAUCCAAUUUCGUGGUUAAAAUUCAAAAAAUACCAAUUCUAGGUUUUGUACCAAAAUCCCACAAUUUCUACUAAUUUCCAUGCUCUAAUCCACAUACAAACCAUGUAUUUAAAUUGUAAUAGAUGAAAAUCACUUAUCUUAUAUUGCUUGAUAAAAAUCUCCCCUUGAAGCUCUCCAAAAUCGCCCCAACCAAGUGAAAAGUGGAAGAAAAAUGGGCCAAAUGCCGUUUUUUAUAAAACACCUCUGCCCAGACGACCUUCCGUUUCUGCUGCUUUUUAGCCGCCUAUGCGGCUCUGCACAUGCAGAUGUUCCCAUCACAGAUGUGGCUUUCUAUAUAGCCUAUCAAAGUCUGCUUAUGCGAACAGAAACCCGCUCAUGCGGUCAUGCUUCUGCGGCGCCUUGACCGCCCAUGCGGUCUCGCUUCUGCGGAGCCUUGAUCGCUCAUAUGGUCCAGCGCCAAAGGCCUAGCCACGCUUUUGCGAUGCCUUCUCUGCUUCUGCAGAUGCGCAUCUAUGCCUCCAACUCCGCAUUUGCAGCCCUUUGCCCAGCUGGCUCAGGACCGCUUCUGCAACCCCCUUGGCCGCUUCUGCGACCCCCUUGGCCGCUUCUGCUGUUCCGCACCAGCGGCCAAAACCUCGCAGGUACGGUUACACCAGAUGUGCUUCCACCGGCAAAUUUCAUAAGGCCAAAUUCAAUCCGCUAGCCAUCCAAAAUUCUCCCGAGGCCCUCAGGACCUUAACCAAAUAUACCAACACGUCCCAAAAUACAAUACAAACUUAGUCAAAGCCUUAAAUUAUGUCAAACAACAUCAAAAUCAAGAAUCACACUUCGAAUCAAACUUAUAAAUUUACAACUUUCCAAGUUCUAUAUCUUGUACCGAAACGUAUUAAAUCAAGUCCGAUUUGACCUCUAAUUUUUCACGCAAGUCAUAAAUGACAUGGCGUAGCUAUUCCGAUACUCAAUCCGAACAUACGCCCAAUUCUAAAAUCAUCAUACGAACCUAUUGGAACCUUCAAAUCUCGAUUCCGAGGUCGUUUACUCAAAAGACAUACCUUAGUCAAUUCUUCCAACUUAAAGCUUCCGAAAUUAGAAGUUUCUUUCCAAAUCAACUCCGAAUUUCCCGAAAUUCAAUUCCGACCAAACGUACAAGUCAUAAUACCUGAAGUAAAGCUACUCAAGGCCGCAAACUGCUGAAUGACACACUAGAGCUCGUCGGGUCAUUGCAUUACUAUUAAAGAAGAAGUGGAAGGACAAAGAAGCUCACGAAACUUAACAUCUGUUUCUAUACAUUUCUAUUUCUUAGUACAAAUACUGUAUUCUUGAGUUUACAAGUGUCACAAAAGAUAGGAAGAGUUAGAAAACAAAACAAGAGUUGUGUCAAAGUUAGAUAAACACUGUUGCUGAAUAUCAUUGGUGGUGAACGUAUUAAAACCUCUACUAUUUUAAAGACUGAUUGAAGAUCUAAGAGAACCCUUAUUACCCAAGAGAACGGGAUGUAGGUACCUUACGGUACUGAACCAGUAUAAAAUUCCAGUACCUCAUUUACUUUUUUAUUCAGCAUAAUUUACUUCUGCUGAAAUCGAACCUGCUGUAAAGUUUAGUCGACUAAUUCCUCUCCUAGUAAAAAAAGUUUUAAAAUCGGUUACAAUUCACCUCCCCUAUUGUACUUUCAGUGGUCACAUGAUCACAUUUGCGAACUGGGAGCUGGGGGCUGGGAUUCCGCAUUUGCGAACAACUGUUCACUUUUGCGAUAAGGUCUGGGAUUGCUUUUGCGAUCCAUGGGGUCGCAUUUAUGAUAUCUUACUGAAUGGAGUAGCUUCGCAUUUGUGAGAGGGGUGUCCUUCGCAAAUGCGAUGGUUUUGUCGCAUUUGCGACGUUUGCAUGAUUAUCGCACUGGUCGCUUUUGGGAUCAGUGUUUUGCAAAUGCGAGCUUCGCAAUUGCGAACAAGAGUUCACAAUUGCGAUAGUUGUAGCUGGGUAUAAGAGGGAAAAGUCGGAAUUUAGCUCAUAUCAUUCUAUUUUUCAACUCUAAACACUAUAGAGACGAUUUUCUAGAGAGCUUUUCUUCCCAAAAUUAUUGGUAAGCAAAUUUUAAUAAUUUUAAUCAAUUCCCAUUACUUUUCAUGCAUUUUUAACAUCAAAUAUAGGAAUUUCAUGGUAGAAAUAAGGGAUUGUGGGUAGAAUUUAGUGAUUUUGGGUAGAAUUUAGGGAUUUUAUAAAAUUGAGAUUUAGACCACAAAUUAAGGUUGAAUUUUGAAAAAAAUUACAUAACCGGGCUCGGGGAUAAAUGGGUAAUCAUAUUUUGGUCCGGAUAUCUGAUUUUGACCAAGCAGGCCUAGAGUUGUUCUUUUUAAUUUCAUCAAAGUUUGAAUCUUUCCAUUCGUGGGUAGUUUCUAAAUCUUCUUUUGAAUUAUUUGAACGAUAUUUGGCUAGAGGUAUUGGUUAUUCUCUGUUUGUACUGGUAUUUCCUUGGCACUCCGUAGGCUUUAUUUCCCUUCUGUUAGUUGACAUUCAGGUCCAUUUUUAUGAGUUUACUGCUUUAUCUUUAUUUUGUUAUCAUUAUUCGUACAUGUUUAUAGUGAGUGUCCUGUCAUAGUCUCAUCACUAAUUCGUCGAGGUUAGGCUCGACACUUAUAGAGUAUAUGGGGUUGGUUGUAUUCAUGCUACACUUAUGCACGUCUUGUAAAGUUCCCAGUGUUGGUCCUAGCGGCGCGUAGCGGAGACUGCUCAGAUCCGGCUGCUACAUGAGACUUGAGGUAGAGCUGAUUGACGUUCGCAGUCCCUAAAGUCCCCUUCUACAUAUUUUACUAUUUAUCUAGUUUCAGAAAGUUGUACUUUAUUUCAGACCAUAAUUUUAGUAUUCUAGGAGUAGUUUAGUACCACGUUAAUAUAACUAUUUAAUUUAUUUUUGAGUUUAUCAAUUGUUAAUUAUCAUUACUCUGUUAUAAAUUAUUAAAACUGAUUAAUUAAUUAGCGAACGUUAGCUUGCCUAGCACGUGAAUGUUAGGCGCCAUCAUAGCCCCACAAUUGAGAAUUUGGAUCGUGACAAGUUGGUAUACUCACGAGUCAUGAGCAAGCUUAGUAGAGACUAGAGGAUCGAUACAGAGACGUCUGUACUUAUCUUCUAGAUGCUAUAGGGCUUUAGGAAAGUUUACUUCUUUCUUAUUGUAUCGUGCGACUUUAUUCUAUCAUUGAGGUUUGGACCCUUCUACUCUUGUUCUCUCACAGAUGGUAAGGAUACACAUAUCAUCCAUAGCCAAGAAGGAGCUGGAGCCCCAGGUUUCAGCCACUACCAAGGGUAGGGACUAGGGCCGAGGUCGAGCCCGAGGCAAUGACAGAGAAAGAGCUCAACCUAGAGCUCGUACAACAAUACCUAUCGUAGAGCCUCAAAUCGAGUAGGAGGAGGAGGUCCCUGCUCAAACCCUACACGUUGGACUAGCUUAGAUCCUAGAGGGGUUCAUUGCCACCCCCGUACUUCAGUAUGCCCUAGUCCACUUAGUUGGCCUUAUGGAGAGUGUGCCCCAGGCCGAUGCACUUCAUGUAGCAUCAACCAUAUCUCAAGGCUAAGGGAGGAGCCCGGGAUCCCGCUACUCAUACUCCGGAGUAGAUAGAUCCCAUAUAUCAGAUUCUGGCAAUUCUAGCAGUUGGAUUCAUUCAACCCGUUAUUGCUACACAACCCGAUGAGAGGCCUGCUAUAUCGUCAUAGGGGUUGAAGAGGUUGGAUAAGUUCACCAAGCUUUUUCCUAUUCAUUUUGGUGGUACACAUUCUGAGGACCCACAUGAUUACUUGGAUCGUUGCCACGAGGUGUUGCGCAACAUGGAUAUUGUUGAGUCUAAUGGAGUUGACUUGGCAGUGUUUCAGAUGAUCGGUUCUGCCAAGAGAUGGUAGUAGGACUAUGUUAAAGGCAAACCAACAAGUUCACCUUUUCUCACUUGGGAUCAAUUUUCUUAGAUAUUCUUGGAGAAGUUCAUCCCUUUUACUUUGAGAGAGGACUACCACAUCCGGUUUGAGCACCUCCAGCAGGGUAGCAUGACUGUUACAUAGUAUGAGACCAGAUUUGUUGACCUAUCUUGCCAUGUAGUUAUCUUGAUCCUUUCUGAGAGGGAGAGGGUGAGGAGAUUUAUAAAUGGCCUUAGUUAUAGUAUCAGGUUGUAGAUGGCUAGAGACAUUGGGGAUGAUAUUGCUUUCAAUCGGGUUGUAGAGAUUGCUAGACGGAUUGAGAGGAUUCGUGGUCAGGUCAAAGAGACGACAUCUACAAAGAGGACUCGCCAUUUUAGUAGUAUUAGUGGUUCCUCGACUGGAGGCAGGGGUUCAUUUGGUAGAAUCCAUCCUCCUAGACUGACUCAGUCAGUGCUUUAGGUAGCACACAGUGCUUCAGGAAGUUGUGGUUCUUAUGGGUGUCAUCCGGAGCAGCCAAUAUUCGACACACCUUCAACUCCUAUUAGUGCACCCCACUACAGAGUUACUAUAGUGGUCAUUCGUGUCAUCAGGGAUCGUCUCAAACUCAACAGUUGUGCCAUCUGAGGGGUUGCUUUAAGUGCGGUGACCCAGGUUAUAUUAGGAUGUACUGUCCUAGAUCGAGGAGCAGCAAACCAUAAUAGGACACUCGUGCCAUGAUUCCGGUACCGGUUGCUCCACCGUCCGCUCAGUCAGCUAGAGGCAGGGGUCAGGCAGCCCGAGGUGGUGGUCAGGCCAUUAGAGGUGAAGUCUAUCCAGUUAGAGGUCGUUCAAGGGGUGUAGGACAGAGUGGUGGGGCUCAUUCUUGUUUAUAUGCAUUCUCAGCUAGACCUGAGGAAAAGUCGUCGAAUGUGGUCCUCACAUGUAUUGUUCUAGUUUUCCAUAGAGAUGCAUCAGUUCUAUUUGAUCCAGGUUCUACUUAUUCAUAUGUUUCAUCCUAUUUUGCUUCAUAUUUGGAUAUGUUUCGUGAUUCUUUGAGUGCUUAUGUUUAUGUGUGUACACCUAUUGGGGAUUCUAUUAUUGUAGACCCCAUAUAUAGUGCUUGUUUGGUUACUAUCGGGAGCUAUGAGACUAGGGUAGACCUUCUAUUACUUGAUAUAGUAGAUUUUGAUGUGAUCUUGGGCAUGGAUUGGUUGUCAUCUUAUGAUGCUAUUUUGGAUUAUCACGCCAAGACUGUGAUAUUUGCCAUGCUGGGCUUGCCUCGAUUGGAGUGGAGAAAUACUCUUGUUCAUUCUAGUAGCAAGGUCAUUUCUUAUGUGAAGGCUCGACGUAUGGUCGAGAAGGGGUGUCUGGUAUAUUUGGCCUAUAUCCUUGAUUCUAGUGCAAAGGUUCCUUCCAUGGAUUCAGUACCAUUUGUACGCGAGUUCACAGAGGUGUUUCGUACAUAUUUUCUGGGGAUUCCACCCGACAUAGAUAUCAACUUUUGUAUUGACAUGGUUCUAAACACUCAGCCCAUUUCUACCCCACCAUACAGUAUGGCCCAGUUGAGUUGAAAGAAUUGAAGGAGCAGGUGCAGAAUUUACUUGAUAAGGGAUUCAUUAGACUUAGUGUCUUGCCUUGGGGUGCACCAGUGUUGUUUUUGAAGAAAAAAGAUGGAACGAUGAUGAUGUGUAUAUACUAUCGAAAGUUGAACAAAGUCACUAUCAAGAACAAGUAUCCAUUGCUGAGGAUUGAUGACUUAUUUGACCAGUUUCACGGUGCCAAUGUGUUUUUGGAGAUUGACUUGAGAUCUGGAUGCCAUUAGUUGAAGAUUAGGGCAUUGGAUUCCCUAAGACAGGUUUUUGGACUUAGUAUGGUCAUUACGAGUUCUUAGUGAUGUCAUUUGGCUCGAAUAAUGCCCCAACAACCUUUAUGAAUUUGAUGAACCGGGUGUUCAAGCCCUAUCUGGAUUCUUUUGUGGUUAUUUUCAUUGAUGAUAUUUUGGUUUACUCUUGGAGACGAGAGGACCAUGAGCAGCAUCUCCGGAUCGUACUUUAGAGUUUGAGGGAUCAUCAGUUAUAUGCCAAGUUCACGAAAUAUGAACUGUGGUUGGACUCGAUUGCCUUUUUGGGCCAUGUUGUAUCUUCCGAGGGCAUCGAAGUGGAUCCUAAUAAGAUUAAGGCAGUUUAGAACUAGCCUAGACCUACUUCUACUACAGAGAUUCAGAGCUUCUUGUGUUUGACGGGUUAUUAUCGCCGGUUCAUGGAGGGGUUUUCAUCUAUCUCAGCCCUAUUGACCAAGUGGACCCAAAAUGGUGCUCUUUUCUGAUGGUCCGCUAAGUGUGAGAUGAGGUUUUAGAAGCUCAAGACUACAUUGACUACAACUCUAGUAUUGGUAUUACCUACAAGUUCGGGAUCUUACACCGUGUAUUGUGAUGCAUCGUGUAUUGGGCUUGGCAUAGAAUUGAUGCACGACGGUAAGGUAAUUGCCUACACGUCUCAGUAGUUGAAGGUCAUGAGAAGAAUUACCCUGUGCAUGACUUAGAGUUGACAGCCAUUGUUCAUACGCUAAAGAUUUAGAGACACUAUCUAUACGACAUUCCAUGUGAGGUCUAUACUGACCAUCGGAGUCUCCAACACCUAUUCAAAUAGAAAGACCUUACUUUGCAGCAGUGAAGAUUGUUAGAGUUAGUGAAAGACUAUGAUAUCACCAUUUUAUAAUACCCGAGGAAGGCUAAUAGUGGCCGAUGCAUUGAGUAGGAAGGUUGAGAGCAUGGGUAGUUUGUCAUAUAUACCGACGGUAGAGAGGCCACUCGCUAUGGAUGUUCAGGCCUUAGGUCAAUCAAUUUGUGAUAUUGGAUAUUUUGGAGCCUAGCUGGGUUUUUGCUUGUGUUGUGGAACGAUACUCGUUGUUGGAGUGUAUCAAGGCUCACCAGUUUGAUGAUCCUCACUUGUUGGUUUUGAAGGACACGAUGCAUCGGUGGUGGUGCUAAGGAGGUAGUGAUUGGAGAUGAAUGUGUUAUGGGUCUUCAAGGCUGGAUUUGUGUUCCAAAUGUUGAUAGGUUGAGAGAUUUGGUCCUUGAGGAGACUCACAAUUCGCGCUAUUCCAUUCACCCAGGUGUCACAAAGAUGUACCAUGACUUGAAACGACACUAUUGGUGGCGAAGGAUGAAGAAAGAUAUUAUUGCUUAUGUUUCUCGGUGUUUGAAUUGUCAACAACUGAAGUACGAGCAUCAGAAGCCAGGUGGAUUGACUUAGAGAUUGGAGAUACCAGAGUGGAAGUGGGAGCACAUCACUAUGGAUUUUGUGGUAGGCUUACCAUGGACCUUGAGGCAAUAUGACGUAGUCUAGGUUAUUGUGGACCGGUUAACUAAGUCUGCACACUUCAUUCCGAUGAUGACUUCCUAUUAUUCAGAGCAGUUGGCUCAAAUUUACAUCCGGUAGGUUAUCCGCCUACAUGUCAUGCCCAUUUCUAUCAUUUCUUAUUGAGGCAUGCAAUUCACAUCGCGUUUUUGGUGAGCCGUGCAACAUAAGUUGGGCAUGCGGGUCGAGCUGAGUACGUGUUUCAUCCUCAGACGGACGGACAAUCCGAGCGCACUAUUCAUAUCUUUGAGGACAUGUUACAUGCAUGUGUUAUUGAUUUCAGAGUUUCAUAGGACCAAUUCUUACCUUUAGCAGAGUUCUCCUACAAUAACAACUAUCAGUCGAGUAUCCAAAUGGCUCUGUAUGAGUCCUUAUAUGGGAGGCGAUGUCAUCCGUCGAUUGGUUGGUUUGAGCCAGGAGAGGCUAGAUUAUUGGGCACUGAUUUGGUACGUGAUGCUAUGGAAAAGGUUAAGGUGAUUCAGGAGCGACUUGGUAUUGCUCAGUCCAGGCAAAAGAGUAAUACGGACCAGAAAGUUCGAGAUGUGGGUAAUAUGGUGGGUGAGAAGGUUCUUGUCUGAGUGUUGCCUAUGAAAGGCGUGAUGUGGUUUGGGAAGAAGGGAAAGUUGAGACCGAGGUUUAUUGCCCCAUUCAAGAUCGUGGAGAGAGUUGGGAAGGUUGCUUAUAGGCUUGCAUUGCCUCCUAGCCUAGCAGGGGUACAUCUAGUAUUUCAUGUAUCCAUGCUUUGGAAGUACCAUGAGGAUAGAUCACAUAUUUUAGACUUCAGCACGGUGCAGCUUGACGAAAAUCUGACCUAUGAGGAAGAGCUGGUAGCUAUUCUAGACCGAUAAGUUCGCAGCUUGAGAUCUAAGAGUUUUCUUCUAUGAAAGUGCAAUGGAGAGGUCAACCGAUUGAGGAAGCUACGUGGGAGUCCGAGUCUGAUAUGCGGAGUAUAUACCCCUACUUUUUAACUAGUCCAAGUACUUUUCUAUAUCUGUUCGAGGACGAACUUUGUUUUAGAGGCGGAGAAUGUCACGACCUGAUAUGUCAUUUUGAGUAAUAGCAUUAAUUUCAGUGUUUUGAGACGUCUUAUAGCUUUAUUUAAUAUUUAUCGAUUUGCGUGCGUGGUCCAUAUCAUUUUUUGGAAAGUUUUUACAUAACAUUUUGAAGAAAAUGUGAUUUUUGGCCUAAAAUGAGAGUUGCGUUGACCACGGCCAAUAUUCUUGGUAAACGAGCUCGGAUCGGUGUUUGAUGAUUCUGGUAGGUUCGUAUGAUAGUUUUGGACUUGUAAGCACAUUUUGUUGGGAUUCGGGGUGACCCGAGUGCAUUUCAGCGCAUUAUGUGAAACAUUGUAAGACUUUUAAAGUUGAAAUUCUUGAGUUUUGAUGAUCGGUUGAUGUUAUUUUGAUGAUUUGAGGUAGCAAGCAAGUUUGUAUGAUGUUAUUACACUUGUGUGCAUGUUCGGUUUGGAGCUCGAGGAGCUCGGGUGAGUUUUGGAAGUGUUUCGGAAGAGUUUGGAAUUGCUAGUAUAAUACCUGUUGCUGGUGUCGUAUGCAGAUCUCACAUUUGAGAGGCCCGGCUCGCAUUUGCGGUCAAUAGAUCGCAUUUACGACAGUGGGUUGGGCAGGGCAAUCUUCGUAUUUGCGAAGAAAUAUUCGCAAUUGCGGACAUUACUGGAUCUCUUUGGCGAGUGGGCAUUAGAAUUAGGCAGGUUCGUAAAUGCAAACCUUUGAUCGCAUGCGGUGGAAUGGGGCCUCGCAAAUGCGAUAUUUUUGUCGCAUUUGCAACUUAUGCAGGCUGGGGGCACUGUUCGCAUUUGUGACAAGUGUUUCGCAUUUGCGAUGGUCAGUUCACAAUUGCGACACUUGCAGUUGGGUAAAAGAGAAAAAAAUUAUGACUUUGCCCUUUUUAUACCAUUUCUCUACCCUAAAACACUCUAAAGGCGAUUUUUGAAAAAUAUUUUCUUCCCAAAUACAUUGAUUAGCAACUCUAAUUCAUUUUCUAUCAAUUCCCCAUUACUUUUCAUGAGUUUUUAAUAUCAAAUCUAGGAAUUUCAUGGUAGAAAUUAGGGAUUUUGGGUAAAAUUUAGGGAUUUUGUAAAAUUGAGAUUAAGACCUCAAAUUGAGGUCAAAUUUCGAAACAAUCCACAUAACCGGGCUUGGGAGUGAAUGGGUAAUCGAGUUUUGGUCCGAAUCUCGAAUUUUGACCAAGCGACCAUGUGGUUGACUUUUGUUGACCUUUUCAAUUUAGCUCAAGAUUGAAUAUUUUUUCAUUCGUGGGUAGUUUCUAAAACUUAUUUUGAAUUGUUUGAACAAUAUUUGGCUAGAUUCGGUUGGUUUUGAGGCUUGUUCAAUGUAAAGCCAUGGUUGAGUAUUGAUUUGGUUGCUGAAAGAAGUAAGUGUUGUGUUUAAAUUUGACUUGAGGUAAUUAGGACUUGUUUGGUCUAUUUGUUACGUGAACUAUGUCUUGGAACGACAUAUAUGCAAGGUGACGAUUGCAUAUGCGUUUCCAUGGAUUCAAGGAUGCGGGUUGGGCUAUUUACCUUUAUAUCUUUAUUUAUUCUAUGAUAUAUUUCGUUACAUGCUUGAUUUUCUACAUGUCCUUGCUUGUUAUUCAUGCCUUACUUGUUAUUCAUGCCGUACUUUCUUUUCAUGCCUUACUUGUUAUUCAUGCCUUACUUGUUAUCUGUCAAUUAGUUGCUACAUGUUUGGUUAAUUCAUCCUUCAAUCAAUACCUUCUUACCUGCUAUAUGUGCCUACUUGUAUUAAUUGUAUACCUUCAUUGAUCCAUGUCUUUACUUUCCUUUAUUGUCUUUACGUUGCUCGUUGCACUUUAUCAUGUUAUAUCUGAUUGUGUGAGUCAUUUUGCUGUUCUUGUAUCAAUGAAUUGUCGAGGUUUGUGGUUGCGAGGUAGUGGAUUAUUCUCCGAUUCCAUCGGUAGUUCCUUGAUGUUCUGUACGCUUUAUUUCCCUUUUGUGAUGAGAUUGCGUUAUUGUUUGUGUCGAGUUGGUUAUGUUAAUGAGUUGAUAUUGGGAAUGGGUUGCACGACACAACAGUAUUGAAAUGAAUUGAUAUUGGGAUCGGGAUGCACGCCGUAACAGAUACUGAUAUAAUAUUAGGAUCGGGUUAUGCGCCGCAACAAAUAUUGUGUUAAUGCGGGAUCGGGUUACUCGCCGUAAUGAAAUAUGAUAUGUUAUAACUGUUGUAACUAUAGUGUUUUACUUCGGUACUAUGAUAUGAGGUUAUGAGACGAUGUUAUUCUGGCGCCCUCUGUUAGUUGACCUUCGGGUCUCGUUCCUGUGAGUUUACUAAUUUUUUUAUAUUCGUGUUGUCUUUUAUUUUACUCGGAAAGGUUUAUAGUGAGUGUCUUGUCACUACUUCGUCAAGGUUAUGCUCGACACUUACAGAGUAUAUGGGGUUGGUUGUACUCAUACACGCUUCUGCACUCCUUGUGCAGAUCCCGGUGUUGGUCCUAGUGGAGCGUAGAGGAGACUGCUCGUAUCCGACUUCUACAGGAGACUUGAGGUAGAGCUACUCGGCAUUCGCAGUUCCUGAAGUCACCUCCUGUCAUAUUUUUACUGUUUAUCUAGUUUCAGACAUUCGCAUUUCAUUUCAGACCAGAUUUUUAGUAUUCUAGUUGCUCAUGUACUUGUGACUCCGAAUUUCUAGGAGUAGUUUAGACUGUGUUAUUUAUGUAAUUAAUUCGUAUAUAUCUGAAUUUAUCAAUUUUUAAUUAUCAUUAUUCCAUUAUAAUUUAUUAAAAUUGAUUAAUUAAUUAGCUAACGUUGGCUUGUCUAACAUUAGAUGUUAGGCGCCAUCACGGUUCCAUGAUUGAGAUUUCGGGCCGUGACAGUAGAUGAGUUAAGCUUUCAACAUAAUUUGGAUCCUAUGGUGGAUCGGUGUUAGUGUGGUUACUUAUUUUGCUAAACUUAUAUAUUGCUCAACAACAGUCUGAUGAGAUUUGCGACCAAUUUAAUUAAUUUGGAUUCUUUUAUAGAUGCUUAAUUUAAUUUAAGACUUGUCUCCUCUAUUUCAUGCUUAGUGAGUUAGAUUAAUUAAUAUUUCUUACCUUACUUUUUCUAUGUUUUCCUUUUAAUAAAAUUUUAUAAUUUGAAAAUGGAGAGAAUCAGUAACAUGAAAUGUGAAGAAAAUCUAAUAUAUGGACAGCAGAACGUGAAAAAUAGAGCCAUUUAUUAACUUCUUGUGAGCGAGGUACUUCAAUCUUAAGUUCAUCACAGAGAAGUUGCAUAUAGCUCAAUGCUGAUAAGUAGAACUUUCAUGUUAUUACGAGUACCUAACAAGCGCAUACAAAUACCAAAAUUUAGAAGGUGAAAAAAAAACGAAAAAGUUCAAAUAUAUUCCCAUAUUUUGCAAAAUUAGUCAUUCAUACGUUUUCGUUAAAAUCAUUUAUUUAUUAUGACUAUGACAAAGAAAUGAAACCAAAAAAGAAAAGCUAACUAAUCCGCCCAUUUAUUAACUCGACUAAUUUUGAUUUGGGAAUUCAGCCAUCUAAAUGUUGGGCAUGUAGGCUUAAUACAAUAGAAAUGACAUCAGGUAGCCCCUCUAAAGGGUUGCUAUUAGGAAUUUUAAGUUUAAUUUUUCGGAACACAAAUAUCCUGAAUUAUCCUAGAUUAAGCUUUUUUAAUUAAACAAAUUAUAAGAAAAUAUAAAAAGACAUUAAAAUGUUGCUAUGAGUUGGCGGUCGAGAUAUGACCCAUUGUUUAACCCAUUAUGAUCCAAUUCAUCUCAACCCAUAUAAUAUUUGAAUGGGUCAUUGAUCUGCGUAUUUAAAUCCAUUCUAAUUCACCAACCCGACCAUCUGACAAUCCCAUAGAGAAUAACCUGAGGGUAUUCCCCUUGCAUUGAGUUAGCAGACCCAGUACAACAACAAAAGCGGAUGUACAAUUCACCAUUCUCUCUCUUCGAAUUUUUAGUGUGUCUAUUUGUUAUGACAUAUUCUGAUUGAAUAAUCCUAUAAGGUAGUCAAAUCAGCUAGUAUAUACCUUUUAGCUAAAAUAGUCGAAAGUAAUUAGUUGAUCAUCAACAACAUAUUCUCAAAAUAUCCUUUCCAAGACAAAACCCCAACCCCCCUCUUAGUUCCAUAGCCAUUGGUCCUCAUUCUCAUUGUAAAGAAUAUACUUUCUAAUUUAUAACUUUGUAAUUAACUUUCAGGGCAUUUAAGUUAUUUUAAUAAAAAAUUGCUUAGUGGAGUAAUAUUUUCCUGCCAAACACAUUAGUUAUUUAUGGUUAGUUUUAGCACUUCUGUCCAACACAUAAUUUCUUAUUUAUAAAGUUAAUUUCAACACUUCAAUUUUUUUUGAGUAAUUACUUUGUUUACCCUUAAAAUUGGAUAACAAUUAAACUUAUAAUGUGGUUCUAAGGACACGUGAUUUCACUUAAUACCAAUGUUAUAAGGGUAAACAAAGCAAACCAGUGUUAGAAUGGAACUCAGCCCACGAGUUUGGAUACCCUCGAAGUGGUUGAUGCAAGAACAAUUAAAAUAUAAUAAGCUGAUGAAUAAUAGUAUAAAUGAGAAAGAUAAUUAUAUUGCUUUUAUAUCGGUGAACAAUGUGUGUUAUAAAUGAUUAGAACCCCCUUUAAAUAUUAGAGAAAUUUUACUUAUGGUAUAAUUCUAAUUACAGAAGAAAAUCCCAUGAUUAGCUAAUUAACCGUUUCUGAUUUAAUCCGUUUCGAAAUUUACGCCAUGAUCCUCGACCAGUCACGGAUAUCUCUCCUUUCUGUUAUCGUACUAUCUUCGAUCUUGCUCGAUGUUUGUCUCAUUUGGCUUCGAUCGCUACUAGGCUCGAUCUCGACAGGUACCUCGAUUCUGAACUCGAUACCUUAUCCUCGUGAUUUAGUCUGUUCCGUUACGAGGCCGUUCUUCAAUGCAUCCUCCCGGUCUCGGUCAAAUACUAAAAUCGGUUGGGGCCGAUUUUAACCGUAUACAUGCUUAUUUGUGACGAUCCGAUAGGUCAUUUUGAGUACUAGCUCCCUUUUUCUAUGUUUCAAGACCUUUUAUAGCUCAAUUUGAUGAUUUAUGACUUGCGUGCAUGGUCCUUGUCGAUUUUCGAAAAGUUUAUAUGUGAAAUUUUAAAGAAAAUAUGAUUUUUGACUUUAAAUAUAGCUAGAGUUGACUAUGGUCAACGUUUUUGUUAAACGAUCUCUGAUUGGUGUUUCGAAAAUUCCAGUAGGUUGUUCGUAUGAUGAUUUUGGACUUGUACCCAUUUUUUAAAUCAAUUGAGUUUCAGCGCAUCAUGUGAAAAAUUAGAAAAAUGAGUUUUCAAUUUGAAAAUCUUGAGUUUUAAUGGUUGAUUCUUGAUAUUUGAUGUUAUUUUGAUUAUUUGAGAUGGUGAACGAGUUUGUAUGAUAUUAUUGUACUUGUGUGAAUGUCCGAAUUGGAUCCUGAGGGGCUAGUUUUGGACACGUUGCAGAUUGGUUUUUGUCUUAACAGAACUUCUGGUGUUGAUUGAUCUGCAGGUCUUGCAAAUGCGAAGACCUGUUGGCAAAUGCGUGCUUCUCUUUUGCGAAGUCAGGCUCGCAUUUGCGAUAUUGGGCAGGGACAGGCAUGUUUCACAAUUACGAAGCGUAGUCAUAUUUGUGAGCUGGAGGGCAUCGCAUUUGCGACUCAGGGUUGGGCUAGAGAUCUUCGCAAAUGCGAAGACAAGUUCACAUUUGCGAUAGGCAGGCAUUUCACAAACGCGAAGUUUUAGUCACGAUUGCGACAACUAAAGGGCUCAGAAGCUGUUCGCUUUUGCGAACAGUGGUUCACUCUUGUGAACAUCACAAUUGGGAAUAAGAGUUCGCAAUUGCAAUAUCUGCAGCUGGGUAAAUUGUGGAAAUUUCGGGACUUAGCUCAUUUUACACCAUUUUUGAACCCUAGACUCUAUAGAGGUGAUUUCUGAAGAGCAAUUUCUUCCCAAAUUCAUAGGUUAGUAAUCUUAACGUAUUUUUUCAAUUUUCAUUACUUUUUCAUAAAUUUCAUCAUAAAAUUUAGGAAUUUCUAAGUAGAUAUUGAGGGUUUUGGAUAGAUUUAGGAAUUUUGUAAAAUUGAGAUUUAGACCUCGAAUUGAGGUCAGAUUUCAUAAUAAAUCGCACAUCCGGGCUCAGGGGCUUGUUCUAAAGGAAAAGCCUAGUUGGAUUGUGAUUGUAUCCGAAAAAUGUAACUAUCUUGGUUAACCUUGAUUUGAGAGAAAUAAGGUAGAAUCGAGUCUAUUUGCUAUAUGAACUAUGUGCUUGGGGUACCGUAUAUGUAAGGUGACGAGUGUAUAUAUGUUGGACAUGUUAUAAGCAUGCAUGUAGAAUUUGCCUUAUUUGUGCCAUGUCGUUUUUGUAUUAUGUUCUCUAUGAUUUCGAUAGAUUGUUUAAUUCUUUAAUUACUUGUAUUCAUGUUAUUUUUAGGUUGAGAUCAUUGUGAUAUUGGAUGUUAAGAUCGUGAAAUAUUUUGAUUGGUUGUUGGCACUAAUUGUCGAAAGAUUCUCAUAUGACGAGUUGUGUUCAAAUACUAUUAUUGAUAUUGAAUUUGCUUCCCACUUUGCUUGGUAUUGUGUUGUUUGUGAUUACUUGGUGAGGAAGAAUGAAAUGCACAAAGAGUGUUGCCGUGCUUUUUAGGAAGAGUGAUUAUGCACGAUGGGUAUUUCCGUGCCUUAUUUACAUAUUGAUAUAUUGUUUGAGUGAACGUGAGGAUAUGCACGAAGGGUGUUUCCGUGCUUGAUUAUUAUUUUAUUAUAUGAGGAUGAGUAUAAAAGUACGAAGGGUGAUGCUGUGCAAUUAUUUUUACAUUAUUAUGUGAGGAUGAGAGUAAAAGCACGAAGGGUGAUGCCAUACAUUUUUGUUGAUUUCAUUGAUCUUUACUUUGAUAUUUGAAAUAUAGACUUGGCUUGUGGCUCUAUUAUUUACUUUGGAAAGAGGUUUACUUAGUGAUACGUUACUUAAUGUUUCCGUUUGUUGUCCCUUUACUCGUGUAAUUUUUUUUCUUUUCACAUGUCCCCACUCGUUGUUAUAUUUGAUUAUUUACCUGUUAGUUCACUACUUUUGAUAUAUAACUGCACAUGUUUAUUGUGGGUGUCUAUCUUAGCCUCAUCACUACCUUAUCAGGGUUAGGCUCGAUACUUAUUGAGUAUAUUUGGUUGGUUGUACUCAUACUAUACUUCUGCACUUCUUAUAUAGAUCCAGAUAUCGGUACCAGUGGCGUCCCGAGAGGUGCUUAGCAGAUACCAGGCAAGUGAUUCGAGGUAGAGCUGCAUCCCGUUCGUCGGCCUUGAGUCAUCUUCUUAUUUCUAUUAUAUUAUUUCCAUUUUGUUUCGGACAAUGUUGUAUUUCUUUUGGAAUAAUGUAUGUAGAAAACUCUGGAUGCUCAUGUACUUGUGACUCCACAUCUUGGGAGGGUUGAAUGUUAUUGGGGUUUUUAGACUUAUCAUUCUUCUCUUAUUCUCUCAUUGAUGGUGAGAACGCAUACGUCAUCCGCAACUGAUUAGGAGCCGGAGCCCCAAACUGCAGCCACUACCAGGGGCCAAGGCCGAGGUAUAGCCAGAGGUAGAGCGAAGCUCAGCCUAGAGGACACAUAGAGGCACCCGUUGUCGAGCCUCAGAUAGAGCAGGAUGAUGAGAUCCCUAUUCCGACCAAGCCAGUAGGACCAACUCUGGUCCUAUAGUGGUUCAUUGCUACCCUAGUGCUUCUGGACGCCUUAGUCCACAUGGUUGGCCUCAUGGAGAGUAUGGCUCAGGCCGGUGUAUUUCCUGUUGCACCAGCCGUUUCUCCAGCUAAGGGAGGAGCCCAGACUCCCGCUACUCAUACUCCAGAGUAUAUGAGUGGCGGUUAUCAGACCCCAACAGUUCUACCAGUUGGGGCAAUUCGACCUGUUAUUGCUACACAACCCGAGGAGAGACCAGUUAUGUCAGCUGAUGAGCUGAAGGGAUUGGGCAGGUUCACCAAGUUGUAUCCCCCUCACUUUAGUGUUAUGCCUUUUGAGGACCCCUAGGAUUUUUUGACCGUUGCUAUGAGAUUUUGUGCAACAUGGCUAUAGUGGAGUCCAACAGAGUUGAUUUCACAGUAUUUCAGAUGCAUGGUUCUGCCAAGAAGUGGUGGCGAGUGUAUAUCCAAGGCAGGCCAGCUAUGACGACCCGAUAGGUCGUUUUGAGUACUAGAUUUUAUUUUUGUAUUUCGAGACCUCUAUUAGCUUCAUUUUAUAUUUUUUGAUUUACGUACAUAGUCUGUGUCGUCUUUUGGCAAGUUUUUACGUAAACAUUUGAAGAAAAAGUGAUUUUAGGCUUUGAAUGGGACUUGAAUUGACAUAGUCAACAUUCUUGGUAUACGACCUCAGAUUGGUAUUUGGACGAUUCCGGUAGGUUCGUAUGAUAUUUUUGGACUUGUACGCACUUUUGAUUGGGGUUCGGGGUGACUCGAGCGCAUUUCAGUGUGUUAUGUGAAUAAUUAUGAAAAUGAGUUUUCAAGUUGAAAAUCAUGAGUUUUGAUGAUCGAUUAUUGUAUUUGAUAUUAUUUUGAUGAUUUGAGGUAGCGAGAAAGUUCGUAGGAUAUUAUUACACUUGUGUGCAUGUUUGGUUUAGAGCCUGAGGGACUCGGGUGAGUUUCAGGUGUACUGCAGAUGAGUUUGGAUGAUAUUACAACAACUGGUGUAAUUCCAGUUGCUGGUGUCUGUUGUAGAUCUUGCAAAUGCGAGUCUCGCUUUUACCGUUACACUAUCGCAUUUGCGUGCACGGCUGGAGGGGUGGAACUUCGCUUUUGCAAAGAAUAGUUUGCAUUUGCGAACCAAGCUGAGACUUCAUUUGCGAUCUAAGAGUCGUAUUUGUGACACAGUGUCCUGGGAGUGAGCUUGGCAUUUGUGAAGUUUUAGUGCGCAAUUGUGAUGGGGGGGGGGGGGCAGUUCAAAUUUGAAAACUAAAUGUUGCAUUUGCUUCCAUGCCGGGCCUGAUGCAUUGAUCGUAUUUGCAAUCAUUGUGUUGCAAUUGCAAGCAUCACAUUUGCGGAUAAGAGUUCGCAAAUGCGACACCUAUAGCUGGGUAAAAGAGGGGAAAAAGGGGACUUAGCUCAUUUUUCACCAUUUCUCAACCCCAAACACUCUAUAAGCGAUUUUUGAAGAACUUCUUCUUUCCAAAUUCAUUUGUAAGCAACUCUAAUCCACUUUCUUUCAAUUCCCCUUUACUUUUCAUGAGUUUUAACAUAAAAUCUAGGAUUUUCAUGGUAGAAAUUAGGGAUUUGGCUAGAAUUGAGAAUUUUUGUAAAAAUGAGAUUUAGACCUCAAAUUGAGGUUGAAUUUCGAAACAAAUCAUAUGACGAGGCUUGGGUGUGAAUGAGUAAUCAGAUUUUGGUUCGGAUCUCAGAUUUUGAUCAAGCGGGCCUAGGGAUAACUUUUGUUGACUUUUUUAAAUUCAUCAAUGAUUGAACGUUUUUCAUUUGUGGGUAGUUUCUAAAACUUAUUUUGAAUUGUUGGAAUAAUAUUUGGCUAGAUUUUGUUGGUUUGGAGGCUUGUUCGAAAGGAAAAACCGUGGUGGAUUGUUAAGUUGGUUGCGCAAAGAGGUAAGUGUCGUAUCUACUUUUGACUUGAGGGAAUUAUGACUUGUUGGUCUACUUGUUAUGUGAAACAUGCGGGGAAACGACGUACGUACGAGGUGACGAGUGUAUAUGAACCGUCAUGGGAUUAAAGCAUGCGAGAUUGGGCUAUUUACUUCCAUGUAUUCAUUUAUUCCAUGUUAUCUCAUAUUACAUGCUUUAAUUGCUACAUGUUCUUACUUGUUAUCCAUAAUUUACUUGUUAUUUAAAUAUUACUUGUUUUAAUUUGUUAAUUUUCACUCAAUAUCUUCUUACCUGCUAUAUGUUCCUAUUUGCAUUAAUUGUAUAUUUUUCGUUAUCUCAUGUUUCACUUGCUUUAUUUUCCAUGUAUUACUUGAUGCACUUUAUUAUGUUACUCCGUUUAUGUGAGCCAUUUGGCUAUUCCUUUAUUAAUGUUUUGCUAAGGUUUGGGAUUACGAGGUAUUGGCUAUUCUCCAUUUGUACUGAUAAUACCUUAAUGUUUCGCUCAUUUCAUUUCAAUUUUGUGUUGAGAUUACGUAACUAGAGGUGUUAAGUUGCUAUGUUAAUGAUUGAUAUUGGGAGUGAGUUGCACGCCGCAACGGUAUUGAAAUUAAUUGAUGUUGGGGGUCGGGUUACACGCCACAAUAGAUAAUGAUAUGAUAAGAUAUUAGGAUUGGAUUGCACGCCACAACUGUUAUUUUGUUAAAUGUUGGGAUCAGGUUACACGCUGCAACAAUUAUUGUGUUAAGUGUUGGGAUCGGGUUGCGCACCGCAACAUAUUGAUGUAUUUUAGUUAUUUAUGGUUGUAGAGUUUUAUCUCGGUAUUGUGAUAUAAGAUUUGAGAAUAUGUUAUUCUGGGGCCCUCUGGUAGUUGACCUUCAGGUCCAUUUUUAACAUAUAAGCUUAAAUAAUUAUUUUGAGAAAUCAAAUUAUUAAUUUCUGCGAUCAAUAAUAAUAAUAAUAAUAAUAAUAAUAAUAAUAAUAAUAAUAAUAAUAAUAAUAAUAAUAAUAAUAACAAUAAUAAUACCUUCUUAACAGGAUCGAGUAGGCUGGCGGUAAUCCGCACAACCAUCCCAAUCUAGCUAAUUUAGUAUUCUUAAGUUUAAAGGCUGGCGGUAGUCCGCACGGCUAGUAAAGAUUUAAGAACAGAAAUAUACCAUAAUUUUCAUAUAGUUUGCUGACUGUAUGGAAGGUCUAACAUUUUACUCGAGCAAGGGGCCUGUCUUAAUCUAAUACAUACUCUUAUUGAGCCCAUGUGUCUAGCGAUUCUAACCGUAAAAGAAGAUGCCCCUUUUCAACACAUUUAACGGGCUAAGGUUCACGGCUUGCUAGACGGAGCCACUAAGGCAAAGCCAAUAAAAGUAAUGCUAGAUUAGACUGUACCACCAUCUCGAAACCAAGCCAAGAAACUAUAUAAAUUUUUUUUAAUAUUUUGAUAGAGGUCAGAUUUUUCAUGGUAUAUAUAGGAGAGAAGUUAGAUAUUCAACAUAGAUAUGAAAUCUCUUAGACGGACAUAGUCACGGCCAGAGAGGAGAGACUAGAGAAGAGACUUGAAAUUAAAGUAAAAUAAAUACCUCUUGAGGCCGGGAUGCAAGGCCUGAAUGCAAUGAAAUAGAGAUUUUAUUUACUUCAACGGAAAACAGUACUUACAAUAAAGAGAGAGAGAUUUACAAGAGAGAGAGAGUUUUGGCUGAUGCCUCUCUCGGAAUGAAGAAUGAUCCUAUAUAUAGAAAGAGAAAAGAACAUAAAGAAUCUAUGCACAGUAAAGUGGGUCCCAUAUGUGGGUCCCUUAUACAGUGAAUUUACUAUGUAUACAGUAUUUCUACUGUGUAAACAGUGUAUCUACUGUUGAGUGGGGUCUCCGGCGGCUUCAAUGUUAAUCACACUCCACGUUUCUCUAAUUCUUUCAUCUGCUGGAUAAAAUCUUCCGCAUUUUCUAUGGCUUUAUCAGAUAAUAUCUUCUCUGAUUGAAUAGGCUGGGAAUCUUCUGCAAUAUCAUCGUUGCUAGUUUCACUCCGCAUUGAAGUGUCAGAUUUUUCAUACUGAUUAAUAGAUUGAAGCAAGUUUCUUUUUACUUUUUCCAAAUAUUUAUUAAUCAUCUCAUCUUUAUCUCCUUCUUGAAAAGAGAUUCUUCUAGCAAUAUGCUUGACUGAUCUAUCAUUAAUUAUUCUCUUCUGGGGAGCUGCUGAGUAUUUUUGGAUUUUUAUUUCAAUAGAAUCCAAGAGUUUUUGACCGUAUACCAUUUUUGUCUUGGGAUCCUUUUUCAUUAAUUUAUCCCAAAAAUUAUUGUAAAAUAUCCUAUAUAAGCAAGAAAUCUAUUCUUCAGUGAAUCCCAGCUCGGGAGUCCAUUUAUGAAUCCAUGGAAUAGAGAAUUCUAUAAAGAAAUAUAUUUGAUCAAUUGUUUCCAAAUAGCAGAUAUGAUCUGUGCGGUAUAACUCAUUCAAAUCUGGCAAAAUUUUAGUCCAUUCUUUGUAUAACAUAAGAAAUGGGUCAGGUAAUAUCUUGAUUGUUGGACCGUGGUAUGACCACCAAUUUAAGAACCAAUUAGGAAUGGGACCUACAAAUAUCUUUGCACAUACCUUUAUGAACCGGGUAUGUUUAUCUCUCUCAUUAUUAUAAUAAAGCACUUUAUCAAAGGCUUGAAUAUAAUCCCAAUAUGUAAAAUUCAUACGAGAUUUGUUGAGGCUUAUAUGCCUGUCUUUCAUUGUGAAAAUCUCCCAAUCUUCAACAGAUAUAAUCUGUUUAAUAAUAACUUUUGAGAAGUUAUAAACAUUCUCAUCUGUGCUAUAACCGGAAAAGUGCUGAAAUUCUGCACUGCCUGUGCUGGUGAGAAUAGUCUCAUAAUAAGAACGAGUUUUGUAUGACUCACCCGGAUAAUAUAAUCUAUUAAUUAAAUACCUUUGGAAUAUCUUCCAGGGUUCAUCUUUUCUCUGUAUCUCAGAAUUUUCUAAAAGAAAUAUCAUUUCUUUUUUAGACAAUUUUUCAUAGGACUUUAUACCAUUAGUGCCCUCUUUGGAAAUUGAAGCAAACGUAUCACUUUGCUUUUGAGCAGCCAAAUAUGCCUGUAAAUGACUGUAUAAUGGGCUGUCUUCUGGAAUAUCUUCCAGAUAAAUAGAAGGUGUUGAUGAAGAUUCGCCUUUGAGGGAUAUCUUCUCAUUAACUAAACUCUUUCUUCCCAUUUGUAUUACUAGGGAGUUUGACGAGGAUCCGUAUGACGAUCCUUGAGAAUAUGAUUUUCCUGGGGAUUAUCUUCCCCCUCUUCCUCUUCCUCUACCUCUAGCCCACGGAUGAUCCAUACUGCAAAUAUAACAAUUCAUUUUAUUCACAUAAAUAAUAGUCUUCCAUAUUAUCUCUAAUUUCUUCAGAAUAAUCAUGAAUAGAAAAUUCAUUUUCGACAAUAUUAUCAAUAAUGUUUUCAAUUAUAAGGUUUUGUAAGUCUCUAUAUAACUUAACCACUUUCAAAAUAUUGAUUAAUAUUUUUUCAUUUAGAAAAGUUUUAUAGAAAUUCAUGAUUAAUUUAAAUAUUCACGGGAUAAGAAAUCAGGAAGAGAAUUAUCAAUUCCCUUUUUAUACUGAAUUUCAAAGUCAAAAGGAGCUAAUUGAGCCUGCCAUCUUGCAAAUAUUAAUUUCGAAGCAUCAUGUUUAAAAUCUUUGUUAAACAUAUAUUUGACAGAUUGAGCAUCAGUUUUUAUCAAAAACUUUUGUUUGUAUAAAUCAUCCUGAAAUUUUAGAACACAUUUGAUAAUAGUCAACAUUUCAUGGGCCACAGUAGCAUAUUUUUUCUGAGCUUCAGUCCACUUUCCAGAAUAAAAUCUUAUCAAAUAUUCACAAUUUUUGUAGGGAUUAACUUGUUUUAAAAUCCCACCAUAGCCAAUAUUAGACGCAUAUGUCUCAAUAACUUUUUGCCAAGCUAGAUUAGCAAGAGUUAAACAAGGUAAAGACUUAAUCCGUUAUUUAAUAUUUUUAACCAAAGUAGUAUGACUAUCAGUCCAAGGUUUUUUAUGAUCCUUCUUUAGUCUGUCGUAUAAAGGGGCCAAAUCACGAGAUAAAUUGUUAUGAAAAGGGGGUAUAUAAUUUAAACUUCCCAAAAAUCUCUGUAAUUGAGUUUUGUCAGUAAUAACAUUAGGAAAUUUUGAUGCAAAAUCAAUCGAUCUUUGUAUAGGAGUAACUUUUCCUUGACAAAUAUUAUGUCCUAAAAAUUGAACAUUUGUUUGAAAUAAACUCAUUUUUGGUUUUGAAAUAACUAAACCAUUUUGUAAAAUAAUCUUUUUAAAGAUAUCUAGAUGCUUAUUAUGUAUUUCAAAUGUUUUAGAGAAUAUCAAAAUGUCAUCAAUAUAAACAAUGAUGAAAUCCAGGUAAGGAUUAAAUAUAUCAUUCAUGAUUUUUUGAAAUUCAGAAAGGGCAUUCUUUAAACCAAAAGGCAUAACAUUCCAUUCAUAUUGCCCGAAUGGAACAUUAAAAGCAGUUCUAUAAGUAUGCUCUUUAAAUAUUUGAAUCUGCUAAUAACCAGAUUUUAAAUCAAACUUUGAAAAUAUAUUGGUAUAAUAUAAUCUUGAUAAUAAAUCCUUUUUAUUGGGAAUGAGAUACCUUAUCCAUUUUAAAUACUUAUUUAAAGGUUUAUAAUUAAUAACCAAUCUAGGAAUACCACAUUCCUUUUCAGCAGCAUUAUUAACAUAAAAAGCUGUGCAAAACCAAGAAGAUUUUGAGGGUUUUAUCAAACCCUUUUGUAACAAAUUAUCAAUCAUUUUUUUUUUUUGCAGAAUUCUACCAAUUCAUCGUUCAUCUGACAAGGUCGAGAUUUAGUAGGAAUAUCAUCCUCAGAGAAAUUAUCUUCAUAUGGAAGAGUGACAAUAUACUUUUUUCGAUUCCAAAAAGUACUAGGAUGCUCAGCACAAAUAUCAAUAGCAAUUUGUUCGAAAAUUAAUUUAAUCUUUUCCUGUACUUUAGUGGAUUUUAAAGUGUCAAAUAUAUUCAUAAUAAAUAAUUCUAAUUGUAACGAAUCAAUAUGUCUUUGCUUCAUAUCAAUUAAAGAAUUUAUAUCUCUAGUUACGGGAUCUGUAACAAAAGUGUAACUUAUCUUUCUAUCCUUAUAAGUAGCUAUAAAACCUUUUGAGUCUAUGCUAGUAAAAGGAUAAAUAACGUUAAUAAAAGGUGUUCCAUGUAUAAUUGGAGGGUAUAACUGAUUUUUAACCAAUUGAGAUAUCUUUUAUCCGGGUAGUGGAGAUCGCCAGGAGGAUCGAGCGCAUCACAUGCCAUGCUAGGGAGAUGACCUCUUACAAGAGGUUCCUUCAUUUUGGAGAGUUAGUGGUGCCUCAUUUGGACGUAGGGGUUACUUUGGUAGAGGCCAUCCUAUCAGGCCGAUUUAGUCAGCUCUAUAGGUCACCCAUGGUACUUUAGGCAGCCACAGUGAUCAUGGAUCUAGUUCCGGUUGGAGAUUCUAUAUAGUUGAUCGGGUAUAUAGGUAUUGUGUUGUCACUAUUGAUGAUUUUGAUAUUAUAGUUGAUCUUUUAUUGUUGAAUAUGGUUGAUUUUAAGGUCAUUUUUUAUAUGGUAAGGUUGUUCCCGUAUCACGCUAUCUUGGAUUGUCAUGCCAAGGCUGUAACUUUAGCCAUGCCAGGGUUGCCUAGAUUAUAGUGGAGAGGGACCCGUGGUCACUCCCCUAGGAGGGUGGUUUCAUAUUUGAAGGCUCGACGUAUAGUGGGGAAGGGGUAUUUGGCUUAUAUCCAUGAUUUUAGUGUGGAGGUUCCCUCUAUGGAUUCGGUACAAAUUGUGAGUGAGUUUCCAGAGGUGUUUCCUAUAGAUUUGCCGGAUAUACCACCUGACGGGGAUAUUGACUUUUGCAUUGAUUUGGUUCUGGGCAAUCAACCUAUUUCUAUUCCACCAUUUCGUAUGAACCAAUUGAGUUGAAAGAAAUGGAAGAUCAGUUGCAAGAUUUGUCGACAAGGGAUUUAUUAGACCGAGUAUUUCACCUUGGUUUAUGCCAGUGUUGUUUGUUAAGAAAAUAUCGCGACUCAAUACAAAAUCCCCCAAACUUCGGGUGUCAAUAAGUACAUGAGCAUCUAAAUAACAACAUAGUCCGACUGCUAAAACACUAUCUAGAAAGAUAGAAUAGUACAAAUAAAUGAAAAAGAAGGAGAGUCAAGGUCUACGGACGCCAAGGCAACUACUUCGAUAGUCUCCAACAGAUAAAGCUCCAAAGCUAGCAGUCGCUGUACCCGGAAGUACCUGGAUCUGCACACAAAGUGCAGAGUGUAGUAUGAGUACAACCAACCCAAUGUACUCAAUAAGUAAGAAGCCUAACCUUGAGUUGAAAGCAGUGACGAGCUCAAAAUGUACAGUCCAAAUACAAGAUUUAACAGUACAGAAAUGCAGACAUGCUUUCAAGUUUAUCAAUUUAAGUUCAAUACGGAUAAAAUAUGUCAAGUGUGAAAGAAAUGAGGAAUGAUACAUCACUAUAUCUACAUGUCAAUUAUGCAUGCCAACUGUAAUGCCACACAGUGAUAAAAUCAUAUGCAUACUCUCGGAGCAUCAAUUCACUUAGUCCUCCUAGUCACUGAAUCCUCCAAGUCACUCAGUCCUCACAAUCACUCAGUUCUCCCAAUCACUCGGCACUCACGCUCGGCACUCGCACUCGCACUCAGUAGGUACCUGCGCCCGCUGCUGGUAAGUCAGACUCCAGAGGGGCAGAUCCUGCCCAAGCGGUAUAAUAAGCCAAUCAUGGCAUGAAUCAAUAAAUAUCACUCACAAUUAGGACCUCGGCCUCACUCAGUCAUCAAUCUCUCUAGUCCCUUAGGCUUACAAAUAUCAUGAAAAUCAACCCAAACAAUGAUAAUAUGAUGUAUCAAUAAACGGCAACGAGACUGAGAUAUGAUAUGCAAAUAAUAGAUGUGACUGAGUACAUAAUUGCAAAUUAAGCAAGUAAUUCAACAGGAAAACGACCUGAGUGGGUCCUAUCAAUACCAGCAUAAAGUCUAAGAAUGAUUUCUAACAUGAAUCACAACUUAAUUCCUCUAACACAUGAAGAGUACACUAAUAAUAUUCAGAUAAGAUGACUACACAGUUCCACGGAAUCGACUGAGUCACAAUUUCUAUGGUGCACGCUCACACACCAGUCACCUAGCUUGUGCAUCAACUCAACACCGAUCACAUAACACGUAAUUUAGGGAUUCAUACCCUCAGAACCAAGUUUAGAAGUGUUACUUACCUCAAACCGUACAAAUCACUACUCCAAUAAGCCCUUGCCUCGCAAAUCGUCCUCCAAACGCCUCAAAACUAGCCACAAACGACUCGAUACAAUCAACACAAGCUAUAGGAAUCAAUUCCAUAUGAUAAAGCUAAGUUCUUAAGCAAUAGUCAAAAUGUCAACCCCGGGCCCACGUCUCAGAAUCUUACAAAAUUAACAAAAUUCGAACACCCACUCACCCAAACCUCUAAUUCUUACUCUCCAAUACAUGGGUAAAACUUCCCCAAUUUUCACCUCCAAAACACCAAAUCUAUGGGCGGAAUUCAAUGGGUAAUCAAUAUAAUUAGAUAAAAAUGACCAAAAGUGGCUUACCUCAAGAAAUCUCGUGAAACCGCUCUCAAAUAUCGCCUCCAACCGAGCCUCCAAUGUCUAAAAAUGACAAAAGCUGCAAACUCUCCGAAUUAUAUAUUGCCCAGGCCUCUUUCGCUUUUGCAGAUCAUAAUCCGCUUAUGCGGGAUCGCAUCUGCGGUGAAAUUUCCUCACUUGUGGAGUUCACUUACAUCCCCAGACUCUACACUUGCGCCCCAAAUCCGUAUCUGUGGAAGCGAUUCUACGCCCAAACGUCCGCUUCUGCGAAGCUAGCCACGCCUACCUAACUCCGCAUAUGUGAAGCCUUCGCACCUACGACCACUGCCCAAAUCUUUCAAGUCCGCACCUGCAACCCCUGGCUCACUUCUACGAGCUUGCACCUGUGACCAAUCCCCUUACAGGUGCGGUCACACCAGAAAGCCCCUAGCUUCAGCAAUGUUUCAAGUCUCAUUUUUGAUCCGUUAACCAUCCGAAAUCCACCUGAGGCCCCCGAGACCUCAACCAAACCUACCAACAUGUCCUAAACCAAGAUACUAACUUAGUCGAGGCUUCAAAUCACAUCAAACAACAUCAAAAAUAUGAAUCGCAACCCAAUUCAAACCUAUUGAAACUAAUGAAUUUCCAACGUCUACAAUCAAUGUCGAAACCUACCAAAUCAACGCCGAUUGAUCUCACAUUUUGUACACAAGUCAUAAAUGACACAACAAACUGAUUCCAACUUUUGAAACCAAAAUCCGAGCUCGAUAACCACAAAGUCAACUCUCGGUCAAACUUCUCAACUCUCCAAACUUCUAUUUUCCCAACUUUCGUCAAUUCAAGCCAAAUCACCUACGGACCUCCAAAUCAAUAUCCGGACACACUCCUAAGUCCAAAACUACCAUACAGAGCUAUUAAAACCAUCAAAACUCUAUUUCAGAGCCGUUUAAAUAUAAGUCAACAUCUGGUCAACUCUUUCAAAUUAGGCUUCCAACCUUGAGACUAAGUAUUCCAACUCCUUUCGAAACAUUCCCGGAACCAAACCAACCACCCGGCAAGUUACAUAACAACAACCAAGCACAGAAUAAGCAAUAAAUUGGGGAACAAGGCUAUAAUACUCAAAAUGACCGGCCGGGUCGUUACAUCCUCCCCCUCUUUAAUAAACGUUUGUCCUUGAAUAGGUCUAGAAUCAUACCUAGAGUCUCAAAUAGGUGUGGAUAUAUGAUCCGUAUCUCCCACUCGAUCUCCCAAGUAGCCUCUUUGACUGGCUGCCCUCUCCACUGCACCUUCACUGAAACUAUAUUCUUUGACCUCAACUUCUGAACCUGCCGAUCCAAAAUGGCCACCGACUCCACAUCAUAAGUCAAAUCCCCAUAUAAUUGAACCGUGCUGAAGUCCAAAAUAUGAGACAGAUCGCCGAUAUACUUCUGGAGCAUGGAAACAUAAAGCACUGGAUUGACAUUUGAUAGACUAGAUGGCAAUGCAAAAAUUUAAGCCACUUCUCCAAUCCUCUCAAGCAUAUCAAAAGGCCCAAUAUACCGAGGGAUCAACUUGCCCUUCUUCCCGAACCUCAUUACACCCUUCAUGGGUGAAACUCUGAGUAGUACCUUCUCUCUCGCCAUGUAAGCAACAUCACUAACCUUUCGAUCGACGUAACCCUUUUGUCUACAUUGUGCCGUGCGAAGCCGAUCCUGAAUUAACUUAACCUUGUCCAAAGCAUCCUGAGCCAAGUAAGUACCCAAUAGCCUAGCCUCAACCGGCUAAAACUAACCCACUGGAGACCGGCACCGUCUCCCAUACAAAGCCUCAUACGAAGACAUCUGAAUGCUCGAUUGGUAGCUGUUGUUGUAGGCAAACUCUUCAAGCCACAGAAACUGAUCCCAAGUGCCCUCGAAAUCUAUGACACAAACGCGUAACAUAUCCUCCAAUAUCUGAAUAGUGCGCUCAGACUGUCCGUUCAUCUGAGGGUGGAAUGCUAUACUCAACUCAACCCGUGUGCCUAACUCUCACUGCACUACUCUGCAGAACUGUGACGUGAACUACGUGCCCCGAUCUAUAAUGAUGGACAAUGGCACACCGUGAAGGCGAACAAUCUUGCAUAUUUAGAUCUCAACCAACCGCUCCGAAGAAUAAGUAGUCCCAACUGGAAUGAAAUGUGCGGACUUGGUCAACUGAUCCACAAUCACCCAAAUAGCAUCGAACUUCCUCGAAGUCUGCGAGAGCCCAACUACGAAGUCCAUGGUGAUACGCUCCCAUUUCCACUCCUGAAUCUCAAGCCUCUGAAGCAACCCGCCUGGUCUGAUGCUCGUACUUCACCUGCUGACAAUUUAGGCAACAAGCUACAAACCCAAGUAUAUCUUUCUUCAUCCGCCUCCACCAAUAGUGUUGCCUCAAGUCCUGAUACAUCUUUGUGGCACCCGGAUGAAUGAAAUACAGCGAACUGUGGGCUUCCUCAAGAAUCUACUCAUGUAGCCCAUCCACAUUGGGCACACAAAUCUGACCCUGUAUCCACAACACCCCAUCAUCCCCAAUGGUAAUCGCCUUAGCAUCACCGUGUUGAACCGUGUCUUUAAGGGCAAGCAAACGGGGGUCAUCCUACUGACACUAUCUGAUGCGAUCAUAUAAGGAAGACCGAGAAACCACAUAAGCUAGAAUCCGACUAGGCUGCAAAACAUCUAACCUCACGAACUGAUUGGCCAAGGCCUGAACAUCUGAUGCAAGUGGUAUUUCACUGACCGGAAUAAAUGCAAGGCUACCUAUACUCACCGCCUUUCUACUCAAGGAAUCGACCACCAUAUUAGCCUUCCCAGGAUGAUACUGAAUGGUAAUAUCAUAGUCCUUUAGCAGCUCCAACCAUCUACGCUGCCACAAAUUUAGAUCCUUUUGUUCGAACAAGUAUUGGAGACUCCGAUAAUCCGUAAAUACCUCAUAAGACAUCCCAUAGAGAUACUGAUUCCAAAUCUUCAAUGCAUGAAUGAUGGCUGCCAACUCCAAAUCAUGAACAUGGUAGUCUUGGGGCUUCAACUGUCGUGAAGCAUAAGAAAUUACUCUACCCUCCUGCAUCAAGACAUACCCAAUACCAAUCCGAGAAGCAUUACAAUAAAGUGUAUACGAACUCGAUGCUGAAGGCAAAAUUAGAACUAGAGCUGUAGUCAAGGCAGUCUUGAGCUUCUAAAAGCUCUCUUCACACUCAUCCGACCACCUGAAUGGAGCACCCUCCUGGGUCAACCUGAUCAAAGGCAUUGCAAUGGAUGAGAAACCCUCCACGAAGCGACGAUAAUAUUCGGUCAAGCCGAAAAAACCCUAAAUCUCAGUAGCUGAAGACGGUCAGGGCCAACUCUGAAAUGCAUCUAUCUUCUUUAGAUCCACCUUAAUCCCCUCAUUGGACACCACGUGCCCCAAGAAUGCCACCGAACCGAGCCAAAACUCACAUUUGGAGAACUUGGCAUAAAGCUUCUCCUCCCUCAACCUCUGUAGUAUAAUCCUCAAAUGUUGUGCAUGCUCCUCCUAGCUACGUGAGAACACUAGGAUAUCAUCAAUAAAUACUAUGACAAACGAAUCAAGAUAUGGCUGGAAUACCUUGUUCAUCAUAUGCAUGAAUGCUGCUGGGGUAUUGGUCAGCCCAAAAGACAUCACAAGGAUUUCAUAGUGACCAUUGCAGGUCCUGAAUUCCGUCUUCAGAAUAUCCGAGUCCCAAAUCUUCAAACGGUGAUACCUAGACCUCAAAUCAAUCUUAGAGAACACAUUAGCUCCCUGAAGCUAGUCAAAUAAAUCAGCAAUGCAUGGCAAAUGAUACUUGUUCUUAAUUGUAACUUUGUUACACUGCCUAUUAUCGAUGCACAUCUACAUAGUACCAUCCUUCUUCUUUACAAACAGAACUGGUGCACCCCAAGGCAACACACCAGGCCUAAUGAACCCCUUAUCAAGAAGCUCCUGAAGCAGCUCUUUCAAUUCCUUGAACUCUACCGGUGCCAUACGAUACGGAGGAAUAGAAAUAGGCUGAGUGCCCGGUACCAAGUCAAUACCAAAAUCAAUAUCCCUAUCGGAUGGCAUGCUCGACAGGUUUGUAGGAAACACAUCCGAGAAGUCUCACACUACUGGAACAAAAUCAAUAGUAGGAGUAUCAGAACCAAAAUCUCUCACAAAGGCCAAAUAUGACUGACACCCCUUCCCAACCAUCCGUUGGGCCUUCAGAUAUGAAAUCACCCUGCUAGAAACAUAAUCUAGUGAACCUCUCCACUCGAUCCUCGGCAUGUCACAGUCUUAGUGUGAUAAUCCAGAAUAACAUGAUAUGGGGACAACCAAUCCAUACCCAGAAUCACGUCAAAAUCAACCAUACUAAGCAAUAAGAGAUCAACUCUAGUCUCUAACCCUCCAAUAAUCACCACACACGACCGAUACACACGGUCCACAAUAAUAGUAUCGCCUACCGGCAUAGAUACAUAAACGGGUGAAACUAAGAACUCACGGGGCAUAUCCAAAUAACGAGUAAAAUGGGAUGAUACACAGGAAUAAGUAGAACCAGGUUCAAAUAAUUUGGAAGUAUCCCUAUGGCACAAUAAAACAAUACCCGUGAUCACUGCGUCUGAAGCAGCGAUCUUUGGCAUAACAGGGAUAACAUAGAAUCGAGCCUCACCUCCACCUGAUUGGCCUCCCCCUCUAAGGUGGUUGAGCCCUACCCCGAGCUGAUUGGGCGGGUGGUGAAGUAACUGGUGCGGAAGUCAUAGCCUGACCCCUCUGCUAAACUGGACCUCCCAAGCGAUGGGGACACUAUCUCCACAUAUGCCUAAACUCCCUGCACUCGAAGCAACUCCCCGCGGGUGGUGGGGACUGAAUCGAACCCCGAGAACUAGAAUAACUGCUAUAAGAACCUGACAUAGAUGAACCCUGAACAUAUAGAGUAGGGGAUGAACUAUGAACUGAGAGGGCACUGAGAAAUAACUGACUCAGAUGAGCACUCUAAGAAUCAUGGCUAGCUGAUGCACCACGAUAAACCGUACGGGCCAUCUUAGUGGGCCUAUAAGGACGACCCCUGAUGUGGUAGGACUGCCCUCUAGAAGAAACACUACCGAAACCACCCAAACCACGAGGCCUCCCUCUCCUCACGCUCCUAGCUACGGACCAACUCUAGUCGCCGAGCAAUAUCAACCACCUCGUCGAACCUAGGACCUAAUGCAUUCUCUCGAGUCAUAACAAAAUGAAGUCCAUAGAUGAGGCCAUCAAUGAAACUCAUAAUCCUCUCCCUCUCUGUGGGAACCAACCAGAUCGCAUGACAAGUCAACUCUGAAAACCUCAUCUCGUAUUGGAUCACAGAAAUACCCUCCUAACGUAGCUACUCAAGCUGCCUACGCAACUCCUCCCUGUGGGUCGGUGAAACAAACUUCUACAAGAAGAGAACAGAGAACUUGUGCCAUGAAAGUGGUGCAGCACCGGCUGGCCUGCUUCGCUUAUAGGCCUCCCACCAUCUGAAGGCUGCUCCUGUAGUAAAUGAGACCCUACUAGUCACCAGAAUACCCGCCGUGAGAAGAAUAUUCUAGCACCUAUCCAAGAAUUCCUGAGCAUCCUCUGACUUAGCCCCACUGAAUAAUGGAGGCUUGAGCCUCCCAAACCUCUCUAGUAUCUUCUGCUCCUCAUCAGUUAUAAUAGGACCCACUUGGGCCUGAGCAACUGUAAUCGGCUAGGCUGGUAGUACCCCCAUUGUAUGAAGUCCUUGCACCACCUGCUUUGGAGUACGAGCGACGGGAGUCUGAGUAUCUCCCCCGGCCUGAGAAGGGGCUGGUGCGGCCGAAACUGAAACCGCCAGAGCAAGGCCAGUGCAAAUAGUCAAUAUCUAGGCCAGAGCCUCCUGAAUGCCCGAAAACACAAUGGGCACAACUGGUGUGUGAGCUGGUCCCACCGGCUCAACCACAUCUAGAGUCUGCUCCUAAGCUAGAGCAACUGAUGGGUUAAUAGGUGCUGCUCUAGCUGCUGUACGAGCUGCAUCUCGGCCUUUACUGCGGACCCAGCCUCUCGUGGCCCUAGCUGGUGGUACUGGUGGCCGUCUGCCCGAUCCGGUAGCAUGUGUCCUCACCAUCUGUGAGAUAAUAGAAUAACAUAAGUUCAGUUUUCAGAAUCAACAAAUUCGGAUGACAAGAACACAAGAAAGUGAAGUUUUUCCUAAUGGUUCGGCAGUCUCUCGAAGAUAAGUACAGAUGUCUCCGUACCGAUCCGCAAGACUCUACUAAACCUGCUCAUCACUCGUGUGACCUAUGUAACCUAGGCUCAGAUACCAACUUGUCACGACCCAAUUCUCACAUGUCGUGAUGGCGCCUUUCAUAAUACUAGGCAAGCCGACAACUCCCAUAUAAACAUGCAUCUUUAAUUUAUAACAUACUGAAAUAAGCUUAAAUAGUAAUUCUCAUAAUUAGGAGAUAAGAAAAUAUCGCGACUCAAUACAAAAUCCCCCAAAUCUGGGUGUCCCUGAGUACAUGAGCAUCUAAAUGACAAUAUAUUCUGACUGCUAAAAUACUGUCUAGAAAGAUAGAACAGUACAAAUAACUAAAAAAGAAGGAGAGUCAAGGUCUGCGUAUGCCAAGGCAGCUACCUCGAUAGUCUCCAACAGAUAAAGCUCCAAAAGCUAGCAACCGUCAUACCCAGAAGUACCCGGAUUUGCACACGAAGUGCAGAGUGUAGUACGAGUACAACCGAUCUAAUAUACUCAAUAACUAACAAGACCAACCUUGGGAUGAAAGCAAUGACGAGCUCAAUAAGUACAGUCCAAAUACAUGAUUUAACAGUACAUAAAUAUAGACAUUCUUUCAAGUUUAUUAGUUUAAGUUCAAUACGGGUAAAAUAUGCCAAGUGUGAAAGAAAUGAGGAAUGAUACAUCACUAUAUCUACAUGUCAAUUAUGCAUGCCAACUAUAAUACCACACAGUGAUAAAAUCAUAUGCAUACUCUCGGAGCAUCAAUUCACCCAGUCCUCUUAGUCACUUAAUCCUCUUAGUCACUAAGUUCUCACAGUCACUCAGUCCUCCCAAUCACUCGGCACUCGGCACACGCACGCGGUACUCGCACUCAGUAGGUACCUGUGCCCACUGCUAGUAAGUCAGACUCUAGAGGGGCGGAUCCUGCCCAAGCGCUAAAAUAAGCCAAUCAUGACAUGAAUCAAUAAAUAUCACUCACGAUCAGGACCUCGACCUCACUCAGUCAUCAAUCUCUCCAGUAUCUCAGGCUCACAAAUAUCAUGACAAUCAGCCCAAACAAUGAUAAUAUGAUGUAUCAAUAAAUGGCAACGGAGACAUAGAUAUGAUAUGCAAAUGAAAGAUGUGACUGAGUACAGAAUUGCAAAUUAAGCAAGUAAUUUAAUAGCAAAAUGACCUCUGUUGGUCCCAUCGAUACCAGCAUAAAGCCUAAGAAUGAUUACUAAUAUGCAUCACGACUCAAUUCCUGUAACACAUGAAGAGUACACUAAUAAUAUUCAGAUAAGAUGACUACACAGUUCCACGGAAUCGACUGAGUCAUAAUUUCUACGGUGCACGCCCACACGCCCACACGCCCGUUACAUAGCAUGUGCGUCACCUCAAUACGGAUCACAUAACAUGUAAUUUAAGGACUCAUACCCUCAUAACAAAGUUUAGAAGUAUUACGUACCUCUAACCAUGCAAAUCUAUAUUCCAAUAAGCCCUUGCCUCGCGAAUCGGCCUACGAACGCCUCAAAUCUAGCCACAAAUAACUCGAUACAUUCAACACAAGCUAUAGGAAUCAAUUCCAUAUGAUAAAGCUAAGUUCUUAAGAAAAAGAAGAAAAGUCAACCCAAACACCCAGUCAACCUUGAGUCCAACCAUACUAAAAUUACCAAAUUGUGACACCAAAUCGUCAACCAAACCUCCAAUUUUUACUCUUCAAUUCAUGUUUCAAAAAAUCCCUAAUUUUCACCUCAAAAACACCAUAUUUGUGGGGGAAAUUCAAUGGGUAAUCAAUAUAAUUAGAUUAAAAUGACCAUAAGUGGCUUAUCUCAAGAAAUCUCGUGAAACACCUCUCAAACAUCGCCUCCAAUCGAGCUUCCAAAGUCUAAAAAUGAGAAACGCUUCAAACCCUCAUAAUUUUAUUAUGCCUAGGCCUCUUUCGCUUUUGCGGACCAUAAUCCGCUUCUGCAGGACCACAUCUGCGGUGAAAUCUUUGCACCUUCGGAGUUCACUUAAGUUCCCACACUCCGCAUCUGUGCCCAAAAUCCGCAUAUGCGGAAGCGCUUCUGUGCCCAAACGUUCAUUUCUGCUAAGCUAGCCAUGCCUACCCAACUUCGCAUAUGCGGGCUUGCAGAUACGGAAGCCCCUUCGCACAUGAGAUGACUGCCCAACUCCUUCAAGCCCGCACCUGCGACCUCUGGCUCACUUCUGCAAGCACGCACCUGUUGACGACCAUUUUACCCUUCUUUUUAAAGCUAAUUUAUUCACGCUUAACAAUUUACAAUAAAUACUUUAAAAGUAUGUUUCUAUUAAUGAAUAUCUAUUUUAUAAAUUAAUUAAGUAUUAGUUUUAAAAUUAAUCACAUAGUACUAAUAUUGUAUAAUUACAAAUGUAUUUACUAUUAUAAAAAUAACUUUUGUACAUACAUUACAUAUGUUUUAUAAUUUGACAAAAUUACUCCUUAAUUUCCAAUGAAUUAGGUUACUAUAUUAAUAUUUGAAGUUAGUGCUAUAAAAUUUGAAAUAUGUGUCAUUUAUAGAUAAUUAAUUAAAAUAAUAAGUAAUAUGUAGUAAUUAUAAUUUUACCAUAUUGUUUUAUUGAAAUUGUUAAGUUUAUUUAAAUUGAUUUUAAAAGGGUUAAAAACUAAAAGGGUACAAUUACAAUUCCUUAACCAAGUACAAAAUGGAUAUUUAUUAAAUUAUUUUAGCCCAAAUGUACAGCCCAAUCUGAAAAUACCCAGUGCAAGUCCACCCCUAUCUUCCAACUUGGCAAUCCAAGUAACUCUAUUCACAUCAAUCAACGUUUGCCACGUCACCUCCCUUUACCAUUCACACACACACACACACACAUCUGAACCGUUGAUCUAUCUGAUCAACAAUCCCGUUUAAUCUCUGAUUUUUUUUGAUUUUUAAAAACAGUCGCCCAAAGACCCCAUCUCCACCGUUCAAACCUCUUAAUCCAAUGGCCCUUAAAAUUCUUUCUAAAAAUUCUAAAUGCCCAAAAUUCCAGGGUCAUUGAACACCAGAACCAACGGACCGUAUUCUAUCUCUCAACAUUAACCUAGAGACGGACCCCUAUUCCCCAAACCCUAAUUCAUUCUCACAUCACUCAGCCACCUCAUCUCCCCAUUUCCUCUUCUUCUCUCUUCUCAUUCGAGCCUACAUACUCAUUAAUCACCUGAGCCUUGCAAAAAUUGGUGCAAGGCCACAAACCUAUCAAGAUAAUCCAUCAUGUCUCCCAUAUCUAGGAUUCUCGCUAAAUAUUUGCCUAUUUCAUCACCGAAAAUCAAAAACUCCCAAAUCCAAACCCUAACCUCAGAGAUGAAACUUCAAAUUGCUACUGAACUUUCAAAUCCAUGGCAUGCAUGGUUGUUCCUUUUGUUCAUGCGCUCUUGGUCCCGUCAUUCUUUCCAUUUUCACCUUUCAAAUUCAAAACCUUAAUUGAAGAAAUCAGACCCCAAAAAUGAAACUUUGAAUUCGCCUGAUUCCUUCUUUCAUCCUUUCAAAUCAAAGCAAGCAGGAGAUGUUAGCUGGCUUUAUCAUCAAUAUUCAACACCCAAAGGUCUAAUGCAAUGACCUCUGGGUAUUAGGGUUCUGACCGUUGGUUUCUUAUGCUUCAACAUUCAGCUUCUCAUAUCUCUCUGCUCAUCUAAACUCAGACACUGAUUUCUCCUCUGUUCUCUCUGAUUUCACCCGACUAUGCUCACAUCAUCAACUAAUCGUCACUCUCCACUAUCUUAAUUUGAAAUCUGAAACUCUAGAGGCAUUGAAUGCCACUAUAAAAGAAGGCUUCAAUGCUCUCACCUAAUAUACACCAACAAAAAAAAAA